AGGAAUUUAAGACUAUCCCAAUAAAUUAAGGAUAUCUUGUGCAAUAUAUGAUAAAUUAUUUCAUUAAGGGUAUUAUAGACAUUUUACCAAAAAUGAAUAGUAGUAGGCCAUUUAUAAAAAUCUCCCCCAAAAUACUUCACUCACCCAACUUCCCCAACAUUCAUCAGACACGCUGUGAAUUGGAAACCCUAAUCCAAUUCGAAACCUGAAAAUCCCCCAAAUCCAUUGGCUUCUGGAAGGAAUUCGUUGAACUUUUCUUCCUGAAGGCAAAAUCGUUUCUGUGGAAGUAAAUGAAAUUACCCAAAAUUGAAACCCACGAAUCCCAAGGCGAACCUGGCGAUUUUUCCCCAAAAAAUCGAUCUGCAUCUGCAUCGGCAGGUUUAAUGGAUCCACGGAUAGUGUACUGGGUUUCUUCCAUCUUUUUUGCAGUUUUUGGAGGAGGACGAUUCUGUUACUUAUUUUAGAGAUUUUAAGAAAAAGGCCCAUUUUUUGUCAAUGGUGAUGAGGUAUGUAUCUAUAAAUAUUUCAAGUUCUACCAAAGUUUCGUAUUCUGCAGUAAUAUUUUUGGUUUGUUCAAUUAAAGAUUCUUCUUGAACUUUUUUGGAAAUUCUGGAGAUGGUGCAUAAUAAUGAAAUUAACCAUUAAUUAGCAAAUCUUAACUUGUUUUCUUGCAUUUGGGUUCAUUGUCACUGAUCAAGCCUUUUUCUUCUGCUCGAUUAUCUAUAACUUUGUAAUGGUACUUCUUUUGGUGGCUUUGUUGUGGAACAUUUACACUUUUUGAUUCCUAUAACAUGUUUUUUAGGAGUGGAAGACGUGCUGUGGGAUGUAAGUUUUUUAGAGUUGAAGAAAAUUAAUGGAAAUGUUGUAUGGCAUGUAUAGAUGAUGCAAGGAUACGGUAGAAUUUUCUUUGCAUUUAGAGAGUCUUCCAUAUUCAGAAACAAUUUAUGUGUGCAUGAUUGUUCUAUAUUGAUCUUUGAUUUGUAACUGCAGUGGCAAAGAAUUUUGUAUCUAUGGUUAUAUUGAUCUUUUUCUCUAGUUGAUGCAUCUCACGUGUAUCAGUAUGACAUAGCUGGACUAAUUUGACGAUAUUUUCUUUGCACUAUUUGCAGUGGACAAAGUAGAAACUUUGAAGCACUACAAAUUUAGCGUCACUUUCGAGAAUUCAAAUGAGGAGGAUUAAGUCACAAAUUUUUUUUUCUAGUGUCUCGUGGCUGGUAUUAGGAAGCCCGGUCAUCUGGGAAUGAUGUUCCGUCAUCUGGGAAAAAACCAUUGCAGUUUGAAGGUGAGUCUAGUGGAGACUCGGGGUGUGUUUGUUUGGGUAAAUGUACGUCUAAAGAUCCGAUUGAAGAUUUGUCGUUUAUAUUCACGAGAUUCGCUCAAAUAUUCAAAAAAGAAAACGUGGAGAUAUCCCCGAACAUAAUUAUCCGCAAGGUAAAAGGAUCUGCUGGAGAGAACAGCAAAGGAAAGGAAAGAGAAACGUGAACGUGUUCCAACAUUGUAAUGGAAGAAAAGACUAAUGUUAUAUUUUUCGUAGUUUGUAAUCGGUACUAAAUUUGGCGUAUGUUGAUUAUGUUGAAAUUUGGAUUAAAUUCAGUUGAAAUUAUUUCCAAACGUUAGUCACAGUGCUUUUAUUAAAGUUUCUAUUGUGAUGCCACAAUUUCGUGCUCAGGAAUACAAAUCUUCGUAUGUAUGCUAAUGCUCAAAUUAACCAUUAGCCAUUAACAUCAACAGAGAUAUACGUCAAAAGAGAAACAUGCCAAUACUAUCAGUGUCACACCGAACGAACGUAGCUCUUGUCGUCUUUGCAGCUAUUUUUCUUUUAGCCCUUGCCACUUCCAGGUCGACGAUUCAGCCUCAUCCAUUUGUUGUAAUUCGUUAAUCAUUUCUUCUAAGUUAACUUCCACGUCAUCUGAUGAACACUGAGACAACAGCUCCUCCCACGGAUAUUCCAAGUCAUCCACUUCCAUAUCCCAGCCUAAUAUUUGGCUGACUCCAUUGAGUGAAUCAUACUAGAGUGCCCGGUUGCUGAUGGAGCUCAAAUGCAGCAUCAGGCUUCUUACCAGAAUCAAAUCCAAACUUACAUCCCACAGCACGUCUUCCACUCCUAAAAAAAAUGUUAACAGGAAUCAAAAAGUGUAAAUGUUCCACAACAAAGCCACCAAAAAAAGUACCAUUACAAAGUUACAGAUAACCGAGCAGAAGAAAAAGGCUUGAUCAGUGACAAUGAACCCAAAUUCAAGAAAGCAAGUUAAGAUUUGCUAAUUAAUGGUUAAUUUCAUUAUUAUGCACCAUCUCCAGAAUUUCCAAAAAGUUCAAGAAGAAUUUUAAUUGAACAAACCAAAAAUAUUACUGCAGAAUGCGAAAAUUUGGUAGGACUUGAAAUAUUUAUAGAUGCAUACCUCAUCACCUCCAUUGACAAGAAAGGGGCUUUUUCUUAAAAUAUCUAAAAUAAGUAACAGAAUCAUCCUCCUCCAAAAACUGGAAAAAAGAUGGAAGAAACCCAGUAAACUAUCGGUGUAUCCAUGAACCCGCCGAUGUAGAUGCGGAUCAAUUUUUUGGGGCAAAAUCGCCAGGUUCGCCUUGGGGUUCGUUGGUUUCAAUUUUGGGUAAUUUCAUUUACUUCCACAGAAACGAUUUUGCCUUCAAGAAGAAAAGUUCAACGAAUUCCUUCCAGUGGCCAAUGGAUUUGGGGGAUUUUCAGGUUUCGAAUUGGAUUAGGGUUUCCAAUUCACAGCAUGUCUGAUGAACGUGGGGGUAAUUUUUAGUUUCGCCAAGUCGAUGUUGGCAAUUUUUCACUUUAAUCAAAAAAAAUUUGCCUAUCACCAAAAUAACCUUUCAUUGAGUAAAAGACAAAAAUACCCUUAAGUAGUUUAUAUAAUUACAAAAAUAGAAUUUUGUUGCAAAAGACAAAAAUACCCUUAACUUACAAAUUAAAAAAUCAAACACUUUUCACUUUAUAUUUAAUUAUUUAUUUUAAACACCUACGCAAAUAAAAAAAUUAAUAUUUAAUUUAAUUUCUUAUUUAGAUAUUUCAUUAAUUAAUUAUCUUAAUCGAUUAUGUAUAUUAUAUAUUUAAUAUUUAAUUUCUUUAUUUAAUCACUUGCUUAAAUAAAAAAUUAAUAUUUAAUUUAAUUUCUUAUUUAGAUAUUUCAUUAAUUAAUUAUCUUAAUCGAUUAUGUAUAUUAUAUAUUUAAUAUUUAAUUUCUUUAUUUAAUCACUUGCUUAAAUAAAAAAUUAAUAUUUAAUUUAAUUUCUUAUUUAGAUAUUUCAUUAAUUAAUUAUCUUAAUCGAUUAUGUAUAUUAUAUAUUUAAUAUUUAAUUUCUUUAUUUAAUCACUUGCUUAAAUAAAAAAUUAAUAUUUAAUUUAAUUUCUUAUUUAGAUAUUUCAUUAAUUAAUUAUCUUAAUCGAUUAUGUAUAUUAUAUAUUUAAUAUUUAAUUUCUUUAUUUAAUCACUUGCUUAAAUAAAAAAUUAAUAUUUAAUUUAAUUUCUUAUUUAGAUAUUUCAUUUAUAAAUUAUCUUAAUUAAUUGUGUAUAUUAAGUAUUUAAUAUUCCAUUACCUUAUUUAAUUAUUAUUUUAAUCACUUAUUUGAAUAAAAAAAUUAAUUUUUAAAUAUUAAUUAAUUAUUUAAAUAUUUCAGGAAUUAAUUAUCUUAAUUGGUUAUGUAUAUUAUUAAUCAUUAAUAUUUAAUUAUUUUAUUUUAAUUGCUUGUUAAAUAAAAACAUUAUACCAUAAUGUACAAGUGCCAUAAUAUUAUUGGAGAGUUAAAAAACAGUUUUUUCGAUCAUUUACUCAUAAAAUUUCACAUAUACAUUAUGGACAUUCUAAUAAAUUAAUAUAUGUAGAAUUAUUCAAUAUUGAAUUUGAUUUCUCGUUUAAAUAUUUCUUUAUUAAUUAUCUUAAUUGGUUAUGUAUAUUUAAUUACUUUAUUCAAUUAUUUAUUUUAAAACCUAUUCAAAUAAAAAUUAAUAUUUAAUUUAAUUUCUUCUUUAAAUAUUUCAUUAAUUAAUUAUCUUAAUUGGUUAUGUACAUUGUUUAUUUAAUAUUUCUUUACUUUAAUUAAUUAUUUAUUUAAUCACUUAUUCGAAUACAAAAUUAAUACUAAAUUUAAUUUAUUCUUUAAAUAUCUCAUUAAUUAAUUAUCUUAAUUGAUUACAUAUAUUAUUUAUUUAAUAUUUAACUAGAAUAUAAAUCACAUGAUGCAUGAGAAUAUCUAACAGAGAUGGAAGUCGAAUAUUAGGCACGAUCACAUUUUCAAGGCAUCGAACAUUAUUCAAGAAUGCCGAAAACAUAUUUCUUCUACUAAAUGAAGUCAAGUGAGAAGUUCUCGAUUAUAGUAUGUUACUCUCUACCCAACGGAUGCGUAAUAUCUAUUUAAAUCGUAUGUACUCUCUAUUUAUAAUAUAUUAUUGGUUUCCUCAAUUUUCUCUAUUUAUAGUAUGUAGAUUACGUGAAAAUUGACCCGACGAAUAUGUAAUAUCUACUUAAAUUGUAUGUACUCUCUAUUUAUAAUAUGUCACUGAUUUCCUCAAUUUUCUUUAUUUUAUAGUGUGUUAUAUAUGUAAUUAAGAGUAAUUGGUUAUUUAUUAUACAAUUACAUAAAAAUUAAAGUAUUAUAAACGUUUUAAAAAAAUGCUUACGUUUUAAAUUAUUACAACUAUGGAUCACAAUGUAAAUAAUAAUAAAAAAGCUUACAUUUUAAUGUGUGUUUGGUUUAUCAGCUCUACGUCACGUCUGAUGCUAAAAAUUCAAUAUAUUUCAAUUUGAUCCGAAUCCGACGAAAUUAAUGGGAGAUGGAUUUAGGGUUUUAAUCCGAUAACCCAAUCGAGAUUCAAAUACGAUAAUUCGUUAACUAAAUAAAUCAAAUAUGGAUAUAGAUCGAACCGAUCCGAUCCGAUAUCAUUAAAACAUUCCAAAAUGAUAUUUUAGACCUUCUAUUAUAAUAAGUGAGCCCAUCAAUAUAGUUCAAAUAUUUUUUAAAAUAAAUAAUUAAUUAAAAUCUUGUUGGGGCUAUGAUUUUCAAUGAAAAAAUAAAUAAAAUUUUUAUUUUUCUAAUUUUUUCAUUUCGGAUCUAAUUUCUGAUAAUAUAGUUAAUCGGAUAUGAAUUUAACAUUCAAAUAUCUGUUGGAUUAUUGGAUUGGAUCAAAUAGGAUAAUUAUUCUUAACAGAUUGAAUCGAAUUUGAGUAGAUCCGAUCCAUUUAUAACCCUAACUUCAAUGCAAAGAUUCCACAAUCGUCCUGGUUCGAAUUCACAGAAGAGGUUGGGCAACGUACUGUCAACGAAUGUUCUCUUCUUUGCCUCGAUGGUGUACGGGAAAAUAAUGUGUUGUGAUAGCAAUCUAGUCCUCUUACUAACCAUUUGUUUUGACACGUCAAUAAACAUAUUUGUUACAUAAUGUCACUUUUAUCGUCUUCUCCGGCAUAAUUAUCACAUUAUCCAAACUCGCGACAUUAUAAGUCAAGUUGGGGGGUCAUUUUUCGGCAUAGUUGUGUAUAUUAAUGUGUGUUUAGUUUAUCAGUUCUAUGCCACGUUCGAUACUAAAAAUUCAAUGUACUUCAAUUAGGGCUGUCAAUAAAUUGGAUAAAUCUUGAUUUAUCUAUUUUUUUCAAUUUCGAAUCGGAUAUCCAAUAACAUAGUUAAUCGAAUAUGGAUUAAACAUUCAAAUAUCCGUCGGAUUAUUGAAUCGGAUCGGAUAGGAUAGGAUAAUUAUUAUUAACGAAUCGGAUCGAAUUUGAGCAGAUCCGAUCCAUAUAUCCGAUCCAUUUACGGUCCUAACUUCAAUGCGAAGAUUUCACAAUCACCUGAGUUGAUUUCACGAAAGAGGUUGGGCAACGUACCGUCAACAAAUGUUCUCUUCUUUGCCUCGAUCGUGUACAGAGAAACAAUGUAUUGUGAUAGCAAUCUAGUUCUCUUGCUAACUAUUUGUUCUGGCACCUCAAUAAUAUGUUUCGUACAGGGUGUCAUCCAAACUCGCGAUGUUAUCUGUCAAGUUGGGGGUCCUUUUCGGCAUAGUUAUGUAUAUUAUUUAUUUAAUAUUUAAUUACGUUGUUUAAUUAUUUAUUUAAUCACUUAAUUAAAUGAAAAAUUAAUAUUUAAUUUAAUUUCUUAUUUAGAUAUUUCAUUUAUAAAUUAUCUUAAUUGGUUGUGUGUAGUAUAUAUCUAAUAUUUCAUUACUUUAUUUAAAUAAAUUUUACAAUAUAUAUAUAAUUAUUUCAUAAAUAAAAAAAUAUUCACCGAGUUAAUGACCAUGCAUGCAUCGUCGUAUUUCUUGAAUGUAUCUCCCAACUGUGUCAGAAUUACCGUCAUAAGUAGGAUCGAUGUAACAGGUCUGCGUGCUCCUCAUUCAACAAAUAUAGGACUAAUGCGAAGCAAACAAAGUUAUAGUUCGACGCAACUUUGUUAGCAAUAUGUGUCAUGGCAGUGUUCAAAUGGCAAUCCAUCUUGUAAAAUUUAAAAUAUUUAUAUUUCUUUGUUAUUUAUGUCAAUUAAUUAUUUUUAUUGCUUAAUUAACAUUUAAGUUACUUGUUUAUUGAAUUUAUUUCAAUUAAUUAUUUAUUAUCAUUUAAAUAAUCAUUUAAUUAUUUAUCAUUCAAAUAAUCAUUUAAUUAUUAUUUAAAUGUUCACCGAGUUAAUAACCAUGCAUCGAAAUUUCGAAAUGACGUACAACAUAAAUCACAAAUGAAUAAUACGUACUUCAAGAUCGUUGAGGAGGGCUGAUAACUGUCAGUUUUGUCUCCAUGGAUAGUUGUUGAAUGUGUUAAUGUCAUCAAUAACUUCCAAAUCUAGAACUAAUGCGAAACUGAUAAAAUUAUAGUUCGACGUAAUUUUAUCGAGAAUCUGUUUCAUAGCGACGUCCAAAUGGUAAUUCAUCUUGUAAAAUAUAAAAAUAUUUAGACCUUGUAUAAGAGAAAAUAGAUAGAGCAUAAUAUUUGAAAAUUAAAUAGUUUAUUUACUUAUUUAAAUUGUGUAUUGAAUAUUUAAUUGUUAACUAUUUAUUUAAAUUGUUCAUUUAAAUUAUUUNNNNNNNNNNNNNNNNNNNNNNNNNNNNNNNNNNNNNNNNNNNNNNNNNNNNNNNNNNNNNNNNNNNNNNNNNNNNNNNNNNNNNNNNNNNNNNNNNNNNNNNNNNNNNNNNNNNNNNNNNNNNNNNNNNNNNNNNNNNNNNNNNNNNNNNNNNNNNNNNNNNNNNNNNNNNNNNNNNNNNNNNNNNNNNNNNNNNNNNNNNNNNNNNNNNNNNNNNNNNNNNNNNNNNNNNNNNNNNNNNNNNNNNNNNNNNNNNNNNNNNNNNNNNNNNNNNNNNNNNNNNNNNNNNNNNNNNNNNNNNNNNNNNNNNNNNNNNNNNNNNNNNNNNNNNNNNNNNNNNNNNNNNNNNNNNNNNNNNUUUAAUUUAUUUCAAUUAGUUAUUUAUUAUUUCAAUUCAUUAUUUUAAUUAUUUUAUUAAUAUUUAUUUAAUUUAUUUCAAUUAGUUAUUUAUUAUUUCAAUUCAUUAUUUUAAUUAUUUUAUUAAUAUUUAUUUAAUUUAUUUCAAUUAGUUAUUUAUUAUUUCAAUUCAUUAUUUUAAUUAUUUUAUUAAUAUUUAUUUAAUUUAUUUCAAUUAGUUAUUUAUUUUUUAUAUUUAUUUCAUUAUUUCAAUUAGUUUAUUUGAAUUGUUUAUUGAAUAUUCAAUUGUUUAUUAUAUUUAUUUCAUUAUUUAUAUUUUAAAUAAAAUGAAAUAAAAAAAUAAUUAAUUAUUUUACUAAAAUAAACAAUUUACAUAAUUCAUGAAAUAUUUAUAAACAAUUAAAUUCAAUAUUAAAAAAUAAAAAAUGAGUAAAUAUUUAUUUAAAUUCUUUAUUGAUAUUUAUUUAAAUGCUUUACAAAUAAUUAAUUUGAUUGAUAUUUUAAUUUUCUAAUUUAAUUACUUAUUUUUAUUAUUUUAUGAAUGUCUAAAUAUUUAUUCAAAUUCUUUAUGUAUAUUAGUUAUUUAAUAUUUAAUUAUUUCGUUUAAUUUUUUUACUAACACUUAUUUUCAUAAUUUAUUUAAUAUUUUAAUUGCUUAUUUUAAUUAUUUUACUAACACUUAAUUUAAUUAUUUAUUUUUAAUUAAUAUUUAAAUACUUUUUUUAAUCUUUAUGCAUAUUGCUUAUUUAAUAUUUACAAAUUUAUUUUAAUUGAUUUGCAGAAAUUUAAUUUGAUUGAUAUUUUAAUUUUCUAAUUUAAUUGCUUAUUUAUUAUUUUACAGAUGUUUAAAUAUUUAUUUAAGUUCUUUAUGUAUAUUACUUAUUUAAUAUUUAAUUAUAUCUUUUAAUUUUUUUACUAUUACUUAACAUAAAUAAGUAAUUAAAACUAAAUUGGCAAAUAAUAAAUAUUUAGAUAAAUAAUAAAACAUUUAUAUUAAGCAUUUCAAAGAAAUAAUUUUAAAUACAUAAUAUACAUUAAAAUUAAACAAUUCAAAUAAUAAUUAAAUAUUAGACAACACAAUAUAAGUAAUUAAAAUAAAUAGUUAACUUAAAAAAUUAAAGGAAAUAAAUAAAUAAGCAAUUUAAAAAAAAAUUUGGGCCUCUGGCGAUCGGCCCAGAUGACUGGGCCGUCUGGGCGCCAGGCUGCCCAGUCAACUGGGCGCCCAGACGGUCCAGUUGACCCAGCCGGCUCAGUCAACUGGGUGCCCAGACGGCCCAGUCAACUGGGCCGUCUGGGUGAGUCUGGAUCAUCUGGGCAUGCCUAAUCGGUCCAGUCAGCUGGGCUUACGUCUCCUUUGUGGAGAUCGCCGGAAAAAUCCAUUUUCGACGAUCUCUACUCCAUUUUCCUCCUUCCAAACUAUUAUGCUUACCCAAAAAUUAUGUAUUUUUCCAAAAAUCAACACAUGUAUAUAAAAUCAUGUUUUUUUUUUCCAAAAAUCAACAUAAAAACUUUAAAUAUGGGUCGUCUAUUUUUUCUUUUUUAUCAGUGCUACAGUAAUUUUUCUCUUUCCUUACUAUCUUCUCUUUCUUCUUUAAAUAGUAAGGGUAAAUUUGGAUUUCUCUUGAUUUUCAAUAUUUUAAACAUUUUGCUUUUUUUUUUUUAAUUGAUCAAAGGCCUCUUUGGAAAAUUGGCCGGAUCAACCGGCUGUUGGCCACUAAUUCCUCGAUCGCUCCUAAAUUUCUCUCUCGAGUGUCAAAAUUGACUAGCAUCUAUUUAUUCAAUUAGUGAAUAAUUAAUUAAAGCGUUAAAAUCAUAAUACAAAUAAACAGAAUGGAAAUUUUCAUAGAUACAACUAUAAUAAAUUCAAAUCAUACUCUUAAAUUUUACCUUAUCAAACCCCAGACUAGAUAUUUAAUUCAUGAUAUAAGCUAUAAAAAUAAUCAAAUUCAAAUAAACAACAUAGAGAAGAGAAUAGAAAAAGUAGCUGUGGUAGAUGUUUAAUCUCCUUUGCAAUGUUGUUCUUGAUUUCUCCUUUAAUUUCUUGAAUUUUGUCCCCCUUCUUGCCCGGUUGAACUCUCUCAUGAAUUGUGGUAUUUAGGUUUGUAUUUAUAGUAUUUUGAAGUUUUGGACGAAUUAUGGUUGAAUUGACCCAAAAAAAUAGUCAAAAAAUUUUCAAAAUUCAUUUUUUCUCAUUCGGCGGUGCCGUGGUGCCCAAGAUGGGUGCUGUGAUACCACGAUUUUGUAGAUUUUCAGCAAGUCAGAAGGUGCUUACUUCUAGUGGAAAAACAGCACUGCACAUCCUUCAAUAUUUUUAUCAUAACAUUUACUAUCGACAUUCGAUUAAGGCGAUUCAAGAUGCGUUGAAAAGCUAUUAGCAAGGGGCUAUAAUUUGAUUCAGAUAUCAUUUUUUCAAUUUCAAUGUUUCCUGUGUCAAAAAUGGGUCUCAAUAUGAGAUUAAAAAUUCAGAGCAUAACUUUUUCGGUUGGAAAUUGAUGUGUAAUCAUAGUUUGGUUAUAUUUCAUCCCUUUGACUUUUUUCUUUAUCCAAUUGACUCCUAGAACUCUCAAACCUUAAUUGUGAAGUUUGACACAACUUUUAAGUAUUUAAACUUUAGUCCCCCGAACUUUGGAUCUCUUACAAUUUAGCCCAUUCUCCAAUUUUCCCAACUUUUACUUAUUUCAUUCAAUUUCAUCAACCUAUAGCACAACAUCAAAACAUACAUUAAAACGCUCUGAAACUCAUAAGAAUUAACUAAAUAUCAAACUUAGAUGGUGUCUAAAGUAUGAGUGAAAUAUACUCAUCAGCCUACCUCCUAUUCUUUUGAACUAUUUGGUCUCUUUUUAUUUUGUAUAUCAGCCUAAUUGAUGGGAAGUACCUUGUUUUCCAUCUACUGCAAGUUAUAGGUGCUUGUGAGAAGAAGAUUUAGUGUGCAAUUUCAUCAAAGUUAUUGUACAAGAUAUUGUGGCUUGUAGAAUCCCCUAUUUUCAGAAUUAUUUGAAACAGACAAGUGUCAAAUAAAUAAGGUUGAUGCUACACGUACGAUGAAAACCCAAAUGUGCACCGUGCGAUGUACAAUAUCUUUUCCCAAUAAAUAAAUAGCUAAGAUUUUAAUAUUGUGCGUGGCCCCCCUCCAUGUAACGGGGUGUAAACCUGGGCAUAUGUGGGGUGUAUGAGUAUCAUUUCCCAAUAAAUAAAUAGCUGAUAUUUUAAUAUUGUGAGCAGGCCCCCUCCAUAUAAGGGAGUGUAAACCUAAGCGUACACCGUGGGUGUACAAGUAUGAUUUCCAGACGGUUAGUAAUUUGACACAUUAAUGUGAUAAUUUUUUAUUAUAUCAUGCAACAAAUCACUAAACGUCACAUGUAUGCUAUGUAAAACGCGGUAGUAAGCAACUGCAAAUAUAAUUAUUCAUAAAUAAAUAGCUAAGAUUUUGCAUGUAUAGUUUUCAUGAAAUUUUAUCUAGAAAUAUACGGCCCAGUAACAUCCUAGCAAAUCAGCAAGCUUUGACGAAUUUUGAUGUCAACACUCAGUUGAAUAUUGCUGAGGUUUCACUUGCCACACUCAAGGAGAGAGAGGUUCCCAAAGUUGCAACAUAGUUCCUGCUGUAGAAGUUUUCUCCAAAUGGCUACCAUUUGGACACGAGAAAGCCAUAAAUUGAGAAACUAUGGCUUAAACCAUAACCAUCACCGAAGGGGAUCAUUGUUUAGGCAUUCUGCAGAAUGUUCGGUUUUCAGUUCUAAUUACGAAAGAGACACAAACAAGAGAUACAUAAUGUAGUAAGGGAAAAAUCCAAUUAACCUUUGUUUGGUUUAGCUAAAAAUUAGAUUUUUAAUGAAGUUUGAUAAAAGUGGAUGAAAUAUAUAGUUCAAAAAUUCAUAAAAGUUUUAGAUACCAUAAAAUGCAGAGUUGAAAAUGAAUUUGACUAAAAAAAAAAAAAAAAAGGAGGGUCAAACAUGCAUUAAAUAACAUGAGUUGCUACUAAUUUUACUUCAAUUGCAUAGAACAUUUACAUACUCAAGAGUCACAUCCCUAUAAACUACUCAGUUUUACCUUAAAAAUUAAUGUCAAUCGAAUCUUAUAUUACAGGCAAGUUUAGAUCAAUUAUUAAUUUAAAGAGUUGAGCCCACUAUAUAGGGAAAAUGCCAAGAAGACAUGUGUCGCAUGUGCAUUAGUUGGAAUAAAACUGUUUUUUUAUUCAAGGUACAAUGAAUGAAAAAUCACCUGUCCUAUAUAAUGCAAUCUAAUAAUUCUCCUCGUACGUAUAAAAGAUUGUAAUUAAAUACAACCACCCAAGAUUGAAUAUCAAAAAAUUUGUAGUGUCGAAAACUACAUGGAUAUUAACAUAUAGGUUUCUUAAAAUCUAUUAUUAUAUUAUUGUAUAUAUGAACAUUACUAGUACAUUUUGUAAUUUAUUUGAAUUAAGCUCUUUUGCCAGAAAAUAUUGCACCCUGGGUGACCUACACAUGGGAGUGAGACCUGCACCAGACCCAUGUGAACAAAAAAUUUCGAAAGAGUGCUCUCGUGAGUAUAACAGCAUUGAAUUUAGUUACUUCACCUACACAUUUACCUAGCAAUAGCGACGGCAAAUAAGGUAGGCCGUCACAGCAUUUUAUGGUGAGAAUACCGACACAAAAUGUAAAUAUUUGAGACAAGCAUGCCUCAUCUUAUUUGAAGAAUUGUAAAAUUCAAGAGUUUGCAGAUGACAAAGAAGCAACUCACAGAGAUGUUUGAGUAUGAUGGAACAAUCAUAGCAAGCGGGAAGUGAUGAUCAACUCCCCCCCUUAAAAUAGAGAAAUCACAGCAAGAAUACAAAAUAAAGUAGAGGUCCAAAUUAACCAGGGGACAACAGAGCAAUAAAGCUACAAGUUCAAAACAAGGCAAAACCGAUUUCAAGUGCAGAAUAUCAGCUAAUGUUUGCCUAAUCUCGCAUUAGAACCAUCACAAGGACAUAUGAUACAUACAAAAACAGACUAUUACAACAAAUGAUUUAACAUCUGGAUGUGGAUCCAAAUUCUACAUUUGGAAAGACACGAUACAGAUCAAGAAAGAAAGGGGUUUAAUUUACCAAACACAUUCAAGAUACAAAUCUAACAUAGGAUUACCAUUACAGAGCACAACCCGUUGCUUCUUCGACCAGGUACAGCAAAAGGGUCUUUCAGAAUCAUGAAUAUUUACAAAGGCGUGGCAGCUAACUUUUCAAAAUCACAAGCAACAGUCAUGAUGCUUUCUUUGAGUUCCUCUAGUUUAGACUUGGAAGAGGCAAUUAAUCGAUCCUUCGCCUCUUUAGCUGAUUCAGCAUGUGUGAGCUUUUCUUGCAGAUUCCUUAUCUGCUCGUUGAUCUUGUUAAUCUCUUCAUCUGUGUGAUUUCUCUCGAGAUUUUGCUCAGCAAUUUGACUAUCAAGUUGCUCUACUUGGCCUAAGAGCUUUUCCUUCCUAUCUUUCACAGAUAGCAACCCCGUUAUACGGUCUCUCACUGCAUGAACAUCAAAUCCAUACCUUUCCAAGUCUGCAAGAUUCUCUAAAAUAUCGUCAGAGAUACUUUUAGGAUCAUUAAGUUGCAAUCGCAAGGCUUUUUCCACCACACUGGAAAAGGUUACCAUUAGACCUAUAGCUAAGCCUUCACGAGAACUCUCUUUAGUAUAUUGUAGAGGUUGGAAAUGCGGCUUCUGCGGUAUCCUCUGGAAGACAUCCAUGGACUCAAUUGCACUCCAAAGCAUCGCGUUCUUCACAAAAGGCAAGCUUAGCUGCUCGCUCUGAAUGAUUGAAACUUUAUCUCCAGAGAAAGGAAUUUGAAUACCAGACUCCUGCCUCUCACUGCCAUCGGUUAACAGAGCAAUUUCUUUUGGCAUCUUGGCGGUUUCAACACAUUUCUCUGCAGUUCUCGCCAGGGAAACUCCUGCAGAAAAUCAAAUAUUAUCAGGCGAACUAUUCCAAAGUGGUGCACACCAAGAAAAUGCAUGUUAGCAUUUUACUUGAGCCAUCAACAGCAUUUGGAGUCUGUAUUUCUUCAAUCCAUUGAGAAAGAGGUUUAUUAUCAUAUUCUCUGGAGGGUACUCCAGCAUUGACUUUAUUUAAUUCAUUCACCAUGUGAUAUGAUUCCAUGGUUUUACUUCCUGAAGCAUCUAGAGAAUCUGCAGAACAUCAAAAAAGGCAUUGUCAGCAAAAUCAAAAUCAACAGGGGGGAAAAUUAGCAUCAAAAGUUCUAACCUAAACAUUUUUUUCUCGAAUUUCAAAAUCUCCAUAUGCAAUCAAUGUGUCCCAAAAUAGCAGAUAAAACACGCUAAAAACAACAGCAACAAUCAUGAAAGAAUCUGCCUUCAUACAAAAAACUCAGCACCUUGAACUUGAAAGGCACUCUUUACAUAAGUGGUCCGUCUUCUUCUUCCCUUUGAUGAAUGCUUUUCAAUUUGGUUUACUGACCUCUCAACUGCUUUCGCAUCUGAAACUUUCCUGUGGGUCUUUUUCAUUAUACUGCCAGGCCUGUUUUUCAGCUUUGGAAGACCAUUAUUCUUGCCAUGCAUUGUGCUCUCCUGAUCAUACAAAGAGCCCUCAAUUCCAGUCAUCAUUUCAGCAGUUAUGCUCGAAUCAACUUCAUUUGCGUUACAGUCUUUUAUGACCAUUUCAUCUGCCUCAAUUUUUCCAUCUUGCGCACUGCCUAUUAACACAGGAAUUUUCCCAUUAGCAAGAACCUAAGUCGUUAUAACAUUAAGGUAUCAACAAUUUCAUCUUACAAGGGUGAUAAAAGGAAGAAAUAGGGAGACAGUGUGAAAAGAAAUGCACAGACCUGUUACCUGGGUUUGUUGGCUUUUGAUUGGCGUCUUUCGCGGCCUUCCUCUCUUUCUCUUAUGAAUGCCUUCUUCAGUUUCUAGUUGCUUACUCUCCUAAAAAUGCAACAGAAUACAAACAAGCAGCAAGAGCAUUAAGUAGUUAAAUAUAUUAUUUUGUUAAAGUGCCAUCAACAAAAGACAAUGAACUCAAUUGAACGCUGUAUAUCAUGUGAGGAGCACAAAUAAGCUCCAAGAAAAACUUGACAAAGUCAUGCUCAAAUGCAACUCAUAAUAGAUGGCAGGUUUCAUAGAGUUUUAAAUUGAACUUUUAAGCCAAACUAAAAUUGAUUUUCUUUUUUAAAUUUUCACGCGGAAAAAGGGAUAAGUUUGAAAGCAAAGUAAAUAAUAUGAAAAGGGAACAAAUUAAACAUAACCAGCUAUCCCAGAAUAAUAUAUAAAUAAAUAAAUAAAUAAUUUAAAAAUUAAAAAACUAAGAAAAAAGGCACUAUACAAGGAAAUAUGAAACUUUAAUGAAAAAUUAGUGUAUGAAUUUAGAUUUUCCAUUUAUAUAUGAAUUAUUUCAAUAUGGUAGAGAUGAGGAUUAGAUAGACGGAGAACAUCUGUUAUCAAAUAAACCAAAAAAAUAAGCUUUAUUUAAAAUUAGAUUUACAAAUGAAAGGAAAGGUUAACAAAAAAAUGCAUCCAGGUACCAUAGCAUAAUUCCUGCUUUAAAAAAUAAAUAAAAAUAAAAAAAAUAAAAGAGCAGAGUAACAAAAAACCUUGGAUAAAAAUGUGAGUUUAAGCUAGCAAUAAAUGUAGCACUAUUAAGUUUACACAACUAUCCCCAGAAUAUUAUUUUAUUUCUCGUGUGGACCUUUCAAUCACAUUCCAAUAAAUCUAGCAAUAUUAGAUUCAAAAAUGUUCAGGAUUGCUUCAUCAUUUUAACUUACUUUUGAUUAUGCAAACAGGUGCUUAAAUUCCUAUUUACAGAGGAAGGGACUCCAAGCCAACAUUCAAAACCAUAUAUAAGUGCAAGUCUCAUCAUAUUCACCUGUAUCCUCGGUGUCGCUGAAUCAUUUGAUAGCUGCUCCUGUUCACUCACAGGCUUCAAAGAUUCCUUAUCAAUUGACGGACAAUCCCAGUUGUCACUUAAGCAAGCCUUUCCAGUAGCCAAACCUAUGAUGUACAAAGAUCAGUUUCUUCUAUCACACACUAAUUUAGAUAGUAAAACAACUAAAACAAUAAAAACCUCAGAGACACCUUCUACAAUAGAUUCUGGGCUAUUAACUUCGUUUCUUCCUCUUUUCUUCAUAGAACCAGACGUAGGGAUAUCCUGAUUUCACUUGAAGUCAGUUAACUAUGCAAAACAGAUACCUAAAUAAUAUUACAGGGGCUCCUUGCAACAUUCAAAACCAUUUGUACUUGUCAGUCUCAUCAUUUUCACCUUCAUCCUCCAUAGCAUUGAAUCAUUUGAUUGCUGCUCCUGUUCACUAACGGGCUUCAAAGGUUCCUUAUUAAUUGAUGGACGAUCACUCUUGUCACUUGAGCUUGCCUUUCUAGCAGUCAAACCUAUGAUGUACAAAGUUCAGAUUCUUUCAUGCAGAUAAUAAAAUUUUGUUCGCACUAAUGUAGAUCUUAAAACAACUAAGCUAAGAAAUCAAAAACCCUAUAAAUACCUCCUACAACAGAUUCUAGGCUUUUAACUUGCAGUUCUUGGGUUUUUCCUCUUCUCUGCAUAGAACCAGAUAUAUCAGUUGACUGUGCAAACAGGUGUUUAAAUUCCUAUUUCAGAGGAAGGGAUAACUCAUCAACAUUCAAAACUGUAUAUAGGUACCAGUCUCAUCAUAUUAACCUUUAUCCUCUGUAUCGCUGAAUCAUUUGAUUGCUGCUCCUGUUCACUCACAGGCUUCAAAGGUUCCUCAUCAAUUGACGGAUGAUCCCUUUUGUCACUUGAGCACCCCUUUCCAGUAGCCAAACCUAUGGUGUACAAAGUUCAGUUUCUUCUUUCACACUGGAGACAAUAAAUUUUGUUUUCACUACUUUUGAUAGUAAACAACUAAAUUACGAAAUAAAAAUCCCACAAAUACCUCCUACAACAUAUUCCGGGAUUUUAACUUGCAUUUCUUGGGUUCUUCCUCUUCUCUUCUUAGAAUCAGAUGUAGGGUCAUCCUCCUCAAAUUUUUUUUGUUUUCUCUGACAUGUAAAUUAAGAUUGAAGCACACAUAUUAGUUGAUGUGAUAAACAUAGCAAAGUCAAACGGGUACAAAGCAUUAGAUUUAAGAUUGCUUCUUAUACUUUUCUUCAGGUCUCAGUUGGUUUAGAGAUAUUUAGUUGACUAGUAUCAAAAUCUGUUAAGCAGCUUUACAAUCAUUAGUAAGGUGUUUGGUUACAAUUAAUAAGGAUAAAAUCCAGCCUCAAAAGCUUAACUCUGCACAACUGCAAAGGAACCAAAAUCCCAAUGAAACUAAUGAGAUUAAAUAGUACAAUUUUGGCAUCAACAAUAACAUACAAUUUUGACAAAGUAUUGCAUCUACGAAUCUCUCUAGACCAAAACACUUCGUGCAUCAAUGUUCUCAGCUCUUGACUAAAGUAAUAACAUAUCUAGUUCAUUAAAUAAUAUUGGAGACUAAUAUGCAGGUGCCAAUCAGUAGCUUAAAAAGUUGCAACUUUAUCAUCAUCCCAAGGCAUUUCACCUUAUUCAAUUGAAUAAGCAAAAUAAACAUAGCGCAUGUUUGGAAAAUUAAGUCCAUGGCUCAUAAGCAUGGGCCACACACAUUUGCAUGGUGAGUAGGUCCUAUAUAAAAUAAGAAAUAAAGUAAACAUUACUUAUGUGGCUUCUUUCAACCAAAAAUAAUGAUGCAGGCCCCUGGCUUACACAACAUACACAUUUUUCCCAAUCAUGUUCAUAAUGUAUAAUGAGGAAUUUCUGUAGACAGUGUGACUUACAAUUCUCCGCCCCCUGUAAGGAUUAUUAGACGACAGAUCCCCAAGCAUGGAUUGUUUAACCGAGUUGAUCCUGAUAUUUUCAGAGAUUGGACUUGCAGAGACACAAAGCAUCACUUUACUUGAAGUUGCAAGGAUAUUUUGUUGUUCAGGUGCAAGAGAUGUUGCAGCUUCUAGAUUUCCUUCCUUCAGCUUCUUCAAAGGCAGUGAAAGAUCAUCAAGAAAAUCAGAAGGUAAACUACAUCUUCUCUUUGUAAUUGAAGUGGUAAUAUGAGAAAGUUUCUGAUCACAAGGAGUUGAUUGUUCCACCUGAUUCUCCCUUGAGUUCAAGGAACAAGGCAUUUUCUCUUCAGUGCAGUCUUUUCCAUUGCCUGAGCUCCCUACUGGAACAGCCACUGUGGUGAUAUCAGAACAUAUAGGGCCUCCCUGCUUUUCAGCAUCUGAUGAUGGGAUUACGUCAUCCUGAGAGAAAUGACAAAGAUAAUGGCAUAAAUAACCUAAUCCCUCAUAGUAGAUGAACAAGUUUCCUGGCAAGAAUGUAUCAAACAAUGAAGCACAAAUCCAGGCAAUGACCACACUGAAAUCUGAAGGUCUAGGUUGAGGGACUACAGACUGGUGGUCAUACAUAUCCUAACAAGAAAAUAAUCACAAUUGGUGCCAACUGAACAAAACAUGAGAUAGUAUUAGGAAAAAUAUAUAUAAAAAAAUGUUAAUGAGGGCACAAGAACGUUAAUUGAAUUUAACUAUUAGAUACCUUAAAACUGUGACCAGCAGCCUAGAAUUCAAGUUAUCCAACCUUCCAGCCUCUAGUGCAAAACAUGAUAUAAUACAUACCUUCAAAUGAUAUCUUUUGUAAACGUAUUUGCAAGAAAAGGUUGAACGUGCAAGCCAAAUUCAACUUGAUACUUGCCACGCCCACCAGCACUAUGAAACCAGAAAGAUCCAUUUAUUUUCUCUCCUUUCCUUUGGUUUAGGGAUGGGGGAUGCAUCCAUGGAUAGAUCAAAAUAUUGAUAAUUGCCAUGCAAAAAAAAUCCCACCAGCACUAUGAAAUCAGAAUGAUCUAUUUGCUUUCUCUCCUUUCUUUUUGUUUAGGGAUGGGCAAUGUAUCCAUGGAUAGAUCAAAAAUAUUGAUACUUGCCACAAAAUGGUAGCAAACAAAAGCCCAAUAUGAAACCAGAAUAACCCCUUUAUUUUCUCUCAAUUCUUUUGGCUUAGGGAUGGGGGAUGUAUCCAUGGAUAGAUCAAAAUCACAUUUUAAAAAGCAAAUUCAUUUCGGGCCUAAUUACAAAAUUCUUACAAGAAAACAUAAAAAUAUAUAUUAUGCUAGAUACAAUCAGGUCAUUUUAACCAGAAGACAGAAGUAUCACAUAUAAACAUAAGAAAAAUAAGGUCCUUCUACCUCACUAUAUUGUCAAAGUUACAUGUUGCUAAAUCAUAUAGCAUGAAUUUUUUCCAUAUUACUUGCAGAUAAUGAUAGUUAUAACAUUUUAGAUAAACAGCAAAAAAAGGCCAGCCAAGAAUAAGGACAAAUUUUUGGCAUCAAAACAAAACAGAAUUCGAAUUUUGAGAAAAAAUUGAAAAGUAAUGACAAACCUGGGAAGAUGCAGUCCACUUACUAUCUUUCCAUUCCAUGUGUGGUCUUAUUUUUGACUGAUGCAAUUCACUAUUCUUUUGCAACUGCUUGAUGAGGAUUUUGUACCUACUAUCUUCAAGCUCCUUUGUAAUUACUCCUCUCCACCAUCCACCAUCAAAGAAUGCAUCAAUUUUUUCUAAUGUUCUUUUAUCCUUGCCUUUGAUCCACAUUAAAAUAUAACCAUCUUUGAAUUACUAACUUGAACCCACCCACUCACCCCCCCCCCCACCCCAAAAAAAAAAAAAAAAAAAAAAAAAAAAAAAAAGCAAAUAAAUAAAUCAAAAAUUGAAAGUUAAAAGCAAUAUCAUCCUGUAAGAUUCUAGAUGAACAUUACCCAUUUUAACUAUACUUAAAAAUUAUAGCAAAUUAAAGCAGCAACAUGCAUCCUUCUCAUUUAACAAAGUACACUCCUACCUACAAAAUAACUCGCCUAAGUAAUAAGCCCACAAAUAAUAAAUAAAAAAGAGUGCAUUCCAAUAUAAAAUCGUGCUAUAAUGCAGAAAUAUCAAUAUACAAAAAUUUACCACGUAGUGAAUUUGCAGUAAAAAGAAUACACUGUUAAUGAAAAUCUAUAAAUCCCUAAAUAGAAACCGGAUGGAAAAUUAUUAGAGGCAUGCAUGCUCCAACUCAGCUAGUUAGCCAUCAUUCGACCCCCAAAUGCAAAAAACCCAAAAGACAUUUAAACGGUCAUAAUAUUUCAAAAUAAAACGGAGACGUUGCACUCUGUGAUCUUUACCGGAUGUACGGGUCGGACCCAGCGUCCGUCGACCCAAUCCCAGUGAACUCGGAGGUUGGAAAUCCCAAAAUCGAGCUCGUCUGGCGGGUUCUGAAAAGUAACCACAAAUUUUGGACCUUCUUCAACCCUCUUCACAACACCUAUCCACCAGCCAUCCCUGUAGUAGGCAUCAACGACGUCGUUCACUUCAAACCCCUCCACGAUCUCCGACGGCGGUGGCGCCGGCCUCACAAAGUUUAAAUCAACAAACUCCCGCAGCAAAUCAGAGCCAUUAUCAUCCGCCAAGAGAGACAGGUAUUCCACAUACAGUGUGUUUUUCCUUUUAGACUUGUAAUUUUUCCCCUUGAAUUUCGCAGGUAUAGGAAUUACAGUAGCUAAAAAAUACACGUCCUUGAAACCCUCCUCGUCUGUUUUUACCUCGAUUAAGGACCCUUCGGGAAAGAGAGAUUUUUUGCCCAUUCUGUGGCUGCUCUUCUUCCGUUCGUGGGUCACGAUCAACCCAUAUCCCAAGCCAAAGCCAAAGCCAAAGCCAAAGCCCUAGGUGGGGUAUUUUGUUUUAAUUUUUUUAAAGUAAAAAUUUUUUACUGAUAUUUUUGAGUCGUCACUUCGAGAUGAUAGCUUUUCAGUUUUUUCUACAAUUUCUUCAAGCGGCGCGCCUUUUUGCGCGUCACGGCGGGAACUUCUAAGUUCUAAAUAAUCCAAUCCAUAUUGCAACCUCGUCCGUUUGGAAUAGCUCCUACUUAUGCUUUUGACCAGUAGAAGAAGAGAAGAAAGAGUUCGAGCUUGAGUUAGUAUCUGGCAACUAAUUUUGUACGUGAUUUGUCAUCAGGAAGAGCUUUUACUUGUGUUUGGUAUGAGCGUGUCAAAUGCUAUUAUGGUAUUAAAAAUGUCAUUUUUACCCUUAAUAUUGAGAAUGAAUUUGAUUAAUUAUCAUAUUAAAAUUUUAUUAGUAAAGCAUAGAUAUAAAUUAUAUAGUCAGAUUUAAUAAAAACAAUAAUUUAAAUUAAAGUCAACGACUUAAGAAUUAAUUUUAAUCACAUAUUUUAUGUAAUCCAUAAUUGUUAUCAAUUUUUUAAUUACAUGUUUAUCAUUUUUUAUUAAAAUCUACUAAAAAUUUAAUUUUAAUUACACUACAAAUGUUAUUUAGCAAUUUUUAUACAAAUUCUCUUCUACGGCAAUUAAAAAAAAAAAAAAGUAGACUGUGAAAGAAAGCUAGAAAUAUCUUUGUCAACUACUAAUGAAUUUGUAUGAAGAGAUUUUUAUUUUGACAGUUCAAUAAUUAAACAACGUUAAAAAUAAAACAAAAAUAAUUAAUUACAUAAAAUUUAAAUUUAAAUGCAACAAUUUUAGAUUGGAAACAAUAAGGAAACAAUGUUCAUCUAAGCAUAAGCUCUCUAGCAAUUCUAUCACAUAUUUUAUGUAAUCCAUAAUAGUUAUCAAUUUUUGUUAAUUACAUGUUUAUCAUUUUUUUUAUCAAAAUCUGCUAAAAUUUUAAUUUUAAUUACACUAAAAAUUUUAUUUAACAAUUUUUAAACAAAUUCCCUUCUACAGCAAUUAGAAAAAAAAAAAAAGAGUAGAUUGUGAAAGGAAGCUAGAAAUAUAUUUGUCAACUACUAAUGAAUUUGUUUGAAGAGAUUAUUAGUUUGACAGUUCAAUAAUUAAACAACGUUAAAAAUAAAACAAAAAUAAUUAAUUACAUAAAAUUUAAAUUUAAAUGCAACAAUUUUAGAUUGGAAACAAUAAGAAAACAAUGUUCAUCUAAGCAUAAGCUCUCUAGCAAUUCUAUCACGAAUAAAUCUCAUUUCACCCUCAUCAACAGUUGAAUUUAUAUUGAGUCUUCAUCAUCGGGCAAAUAAUCUUCUUUUUAAUUGUAUUUUUAAAAUUUCAAAUCAACUAUAGCCUCAUUUCUUAUAAAGUUAUGUAGUGCCAUUGAAGCCGUAACAAUAGUUACUUGCUUAUCAAAAUCAUAAUUUGGCAUUUGUCGUAAUAUUCUUCAUCACGAUUUCCAUACCCAAAGCAACGUUCAAUAACACUUCAGAGUGAGGAACGUGCAUGACUAAAAACUUCUCCAGAACCUCUAAGUUGACUACCACGUCUAAAAUCAGGAAGAUGGUAUCUUUCUCCCUUAUAUGGAGUUAAAUAACAUUUCAUAUUUGGAUAGCCUGAAUCAACCAAGUAGUAUUUAUCUACAAAAUUAUCAAUUCAAAUAUCAAUAAGAAUAAAGACCUUAUGAUGUUACCAAAAUAUAUAAAAAUUAUUUAUAAAUAAAAAUCACAAACCAUCUAAUGGUUUAGAAAAUUUUAGAUCAAUGCUUCGUAGAACCCCCAAAAAUAUACGUGUAUCAUGUGUUGUUCCUUUCCAGCCUAGCCACACAAAGGUGAAUAGCAUGUCAAAAUUACACACAGUCAUAAUGUUUUGGGUAGGAUAUCCCUUUCUACCAAUGUAGGGGAUUUGCUUAUUCAUUGGAAGUGAUGAGCGAACAUGUGUUCCAUCAAUUGCUUCAAUACAAUCCUAUCAAAAGAAAAUAAAAUAGAAGAAAUAAAGCAAAAAUAAUUAGAAUAAUGUUUUCAAAUGAAAUAUGAUAUUUCAACAUUUAUUAUGUAGAUUAACUUAAAAUAAGGCCAAUACUUGGGAUUUGAUCUAAUAUAAAGUGGAACUUCAUCAUAAUUAUCAAGCGGUCUAAUUUCUUGUAAAGCGAGAUUAAUCCUUUUUUUAGUACAAUCCCAAAUUGUCUACUCACUGUUUCACCUGAACAUUGAAACCUUUCUUGAAUCAUCCUAUUACCAACACCAUGUCCCAAUGUCAUCAAAAACAUACAUACUGCCUCUUCUAAUCGUGCUCCUUUACUUGAACACAACCCAUAACUUCUUAAUUUGUCACAUAAUUUGCAAAAUACAUGUUUCUCCAUUCGAAACAUUUCUUGACAUCACCUAUCAUUUCCAUUAAGAAUCUCCAUAACAAACUUCAUUCAUGUACAAGAGAAAUCCCUACAUGGUUCUUUUACCAAAAAAGUGUUAUGAUGUUCACAAUUGUAGCUGCAGUGGUAAGGACAAGCUCAUUAAAAUCUGUUUCAUCUCUCAUAACUUGAUUUAUGUAUUCUUCAUGUAGCUCUUCAUCUGAUUCUUCGUCCAUUUUGUAAUCAUAUAACCAUGAAUAAAAAAAUAUAAUUUCACAAACUAAAUUCAUCACGUAAUGCCUUACAAUAACAUAGACUUCAUAUUACCUUCAAAUAACACAAGUCCCACAUAGAUUACAAUAAGAAAAGUAGUUGAUUUUGCCGAAAUAAAGCAUGUCACAUAAAUUACUUUAACAAUAAAGCUACAGGUACAGAUUGGGUUUCACAGAGAUUUUACAGGAUUUUGAAUUUGGCGACGUGGCAGCUCAUUAAAUCAACCAAAAGAAAGAUCAAAAAAGAAAUAGAAAAGUGAGGGAAAAGAGGGAGGGAAAAAGAACCAUUUGUUCAACCCGUGUAUAACUCCCCCAAAUUGGAGAACCCAUUUUGCACGGGAACAACUCCAGCGUUUUCCGGUGGAAAUUGCAAAAACAAUGUGUUUUGUCUCAUUUAUCACAUUUUGCCCGACCAUAUACCUUCAACUUCCGGUGUUGGAGAGGCAUGAAAAUUCUCCAUCCCAACGGUUUAUUCCUGCUACAAUCACCAUGCCCGGCCAUAGCUUACACCUCCAGUGUUUUCUCAUCUGAGCCACACUGUGCAUUUUUGCCAGCGAAGAUCAUACGGAGUCCCGGCCAUAUUCUCCACCUCGGUGUUUGCCCACGUGAGCCACACUCUUCUCAUUUUCUUUAGUGUUGUGCAAUUUUAAAUUUCCAACACCUGCUUCUUCGAAAGAUUUGUGUUUUUAAGGAUUAGUGUUGUGCAUUUUUUUUUAUUUCCAGUAUCUGCUGCUUUGGGAGAUCUGUAUUUGCAAGGAUUAGUGUUGUGCAUUUUUCAACUAUGCAAUUCAACGGUGGCUAUUAAUUAAUCCACUAAUGUGUAAGAAUUUUUUUUCCCCAGAAUAAACCUUAGAAAAUCCUCAUAUUGUCUCAUAUUAUAUGUACUUUUUUUUUUGCAACAUCAAGCAAGAAUAUUGGUGUAGAAGAGAUACGCUUGGUUUUUAUGAAUGCUGAUUUUGGAAUAUUUUCGAAGCUGUGCACUAUUCUGUCACUUGGUUUUGCUAGAAUCAGUUUUCCAUUUGUUUAUAACCUGUGAAAGUGCUGAAUUUUGGAAAUUUGUUUAUAUUUGUUUGUGAUUGUGUAAGGUACAAAUAGUGUGAUAUUACAAGGAGUUAUAAACGUUUUGUAAUUCUGUGCAAUGGCUUCAAUGAAAUUGCUUUACUGUAGGUCUCUUUCAAUUUUAUCUUGUAACGUCUAAGACAUCAACUUGGACAAAUUAUGUGGACGGUUAACGGGAAAUGUUAAACAUCACGACAACUCAAAUUAUAUUAACUUCGUUUCAUUAAAUUCCUUUACUAUUAUUCAAUAUUUUAAGCAUUCACCCUCAACAUAAAAUGCAGAGUUCAACUCCAUGGCAAGAAUGAGAUAUACUGAUGCCAAACAUAAUAAAAGGAACAAAAUUUACACACACUUUCCAAUAUCAAAUACAAAUUACAAUAAUAUUAGAAUCUCCCUCCUCACUACUAAUCAAACCAGCCCCUUUCCUUUCGAAUUCCCUUUGUCAAUCCUUUUCCCUUGUGGAAUGUCACAUUUAAUAAAAUCUCGACGUCUCCUUUUGCACUUAUUCGAGCUAGCGUUUCAAAUAGGCUUGAUAAAUCUUCGACGACUUCCUUGGCAGCAGGAUUCACUGCUUGAUUCUACUAGUACGACCAUGUAUAGCAUUCCUUCAUCCCAUUCUAAGAUGCAAAACAACCACAUAAAACAAAUGUCAAUACUACGCGAACUAAGAAGAUCGAGAAUAAUUCAUGUUCAAUGCUAAAGUUUUCAAAACUUAAAAUCACAACACCUACAAAAGUCAUUAGGUAUAUCCUCCUAAAGAACCAAAACCAUCCCCACAGUUCAUCCUAAACACUUUGCUGCAGUAGAGAACAAAGCAAUAAGAUGCAUAUCUUCUUCUAUUAAUCUCACCAACGCCAUCCCCCUUUUCAGGCUUACUGCUUUAAUUCUCAAACAAGCAAAUUCUUGACUAAAAAAGCUUGUCAUUCAUAGUCAUUGGUUCGCAACCAGGAAGUGUAGCCAUCUUAUCCAUAACCUCUUGAACACUACAUCCAGGUGGAUCGAUGCAUAUAUAGGAGCUCCUGUUUUUAACUGCUUCACGAAGUUCUUCAAGUUGUCUGCAUUGUUUUUUGUUGUUGAUUGCUUAUUUUUUCCCUUCCUUAGUCGCUUCCUAGUUGGCUCAACCACUUUAUCUUAGCGAUUGCUAUACCCUAUUUCCUCAUGGUUACCAUCAAAUUGUUCAUUUUCAGCAGAAUCAUCAUCUUCAAUAAUAGUUAUAUUUUGUGAAUAUAAAGAAUGCAUUACACCAGAUGUAGGCGCCCAAGCCCUUGCUCCAGUAGCUGUGACAUUGCGAAACAACUCAUCUAAUUUGAAUGCAUGAUCUAAGCCCUUCACACGAUAUUUUGCAGCUUCCAGAUAUUUUUGUUAAAUAAUUUAGAAUUUUAGAAAUAUUAUAUAAUUGGGUGUAUUAUAAUUAAAUAAAGAAAAUUGAAACACUUGUAGUUUUGUAACCCACCAUUCAUUUGGAGCACCUAUAGUUUGCCUUUCCAUAUCCCAAUCAAGUCCAGUUUUCCCCUCUUAACAAUGCAUCUCAUAGCUGCCACUCUUUCUUUACGACAUCCCAAUGAUUUUUUAGUUGUUUCCUAUCAUAAUCUAUAAUUGUUGCUUUGUUAAAGUUCUUAGUAAAAAGUUUCCAACCCUCUUUGCUCAAGUGUGUUCCAUUUCUGUUACCAGCCCUCACUUGUUCUACAACUACAUCAACCUAAAUCUCAUGUGUUCAUGCAUCCAAAUUGCUUUUGAUUUUCCCUUUAUUCCCUCAGUUGCCAACUACAUUUAAAAAUGUUGUUACACCCAAAUGAUUGAGGCCAAAUUCAUUGAUUAAGAAAGCCUCAAUUUGUAAAUUUGAACUGGUUAAAAAGUAGUGCAUCAUACUUACUUUAGGAUAAAACAUGCACUAUACUAUUUUGAAUUCCCAAAAAGCAAGAAUGCUAAAAAACAGAAGCAAGAAGAUUAUAAUAGCACAUCCAAAUUCAAUAAACAAGUCUAGUCGAGCUAAUUACUUUGCCAAAAAAAAAUUUCUAGCCAAUUAUAAUUUCGCAAUAAACUAAAAGCGUUUCACAUUAUGAAAACCCUACAUUUGGCCCCAGCUUCCAACAGCGGUUUGCUAGCAGAAAAUUUACGCCAAAUCAAACAAAUUGCUACAGAACUAAAACUAAGAAAGCAUACACUAUAUAUUUCUGAAUCCUCAAAAAGGAAUUAUAAAGAUUGAAAAAACAUAACAAGGCUUGCCAAGCUAAUUAGUUAGCCAAAAUUAUUGUAAAAUCAGGUAUACUCCCGUAAUAAUCCAAAAGCAUCCUCGAUAACUAAACCCUACCCUUGCCGCAAUUCCAAACAACGGUUUGCAAAAGUAAUUUUACACUGAAAUUCAAACAAACUGCUAUAAUAGAAAAAUAACGUUGUUGCAAAAUAAAAUGAUAAGAAAUUGAAGGUAAACUGCAAAAUCUUACAAAGAGAUGAGAGGAAUUCCUGCAGACACAAAUUAAAGAAAAGGAUUAGAGAAGAAGAAAUGAAGAGAAUUGAAAAGGUCGUGAUUUUUUAGGACAUGGUUGGAAUUUCAUUCUGUUCUUUACAAAUGUAAGGGUAAAAUUGGAAUUUUAAAUUUUCAUUAAACAAGAAAACUGACUUCCCGUACUAGAAAAAAUCCUUUUAUAAAAUUAAUCAAAUGGAUCUAAAAGCACUUUUGGGCCACAAAAGCUUUUUGGGCCUCUCAAAAGCUAUCCCAAAUGGGCUCUAAGUGCUUGUUUGUGCCUCAUUAUUUGUGAAUUAUGNUGUAAUCCCAAAAAUAAAAUUGAAGAACUUAGCAGAAUAAAAUAAGUUAUUUUAUUGUCUCAUAACGAUGUCAAUUAAUCUAAUCCACUACUGUAAUAUAAAUCUAGCACUUAUUUUAAAAAUUCAACAUCGAUUUUGAACAUUAGAUAAAUAAAAAUCUAAUUUGAAAACUAGUUUUCUAACUAAAUACUAAAUAUUGAAAAAAACCCUUAAAUUCUUGAUCUAGCGAUAUGGACUUUGUUAACAGUCUCAACCUUCAAAUCUGAUCCAUCAUAUAUCUUUAAAAAUAAUUUAGGAUAUAGAAUGAGUAUAUGAAUAUACUCAAUAUAGGUUUCAUGCCAGUAUUUUCACAAAUUAAUUUUAAAAGUAUGCAAAAUACGCACCUAAGUGAGAAUGAGACGAUCGGGUUUCAAUCCCACUAGAAAAUUUUGUUAUGUGCAUAUUUACCUGCUUUUUAUUAAAAGUAUGUAAAAUACGCACUGACACGGCACAUAGACUCAUACUUUCCCUCACGUACCCCUUGCUCAUCAAUUCCUCCACUUGCCUUUGAAGUUUCAUGGUCUCCUUGAGAUUACUUCAGUAAGCUAGCCUGUUUGGAAUGACAACUCCAGGUAUGAAAUCAAUUUGAUAUUUGAUGCCUUGAAUGGGUAGUAACCUACUGGGCAUGUCUUCCAUCAAUAAUGGUUGGGGUAGGUGGUACCGGUGCCCUUUUGCGUGCCAAUCAUGUUUAAUAGUAUUUACAUACUACUUUACACUCUACAAUUCUAUCUACCGUAUGACCCGUUGAAAUCAAUUUAAAGUAAUCCCGUUAUUUUGUCGAUUUUUUCCCUUUUCACUUCCAUUUUGCAUUAGGAAUAGUUGGUCCAUCCUAUUCCAUUUUGGGAACAUCUACGUUAUCCAAAUCAAUUGGAUUACUAGCAUCCAAAUCUGGAAUAUUUUUGGGAAUGUGUACUUUGUUGAGACUGGCAAAUUCAUUAUGAAAUUGACUUUUGCAGUGUCAUGGGUGAUUCGCCUUCGAUACCGAACAAGUCGUCCACAAAAUGAUUGGUCACUAUAGUGGUGAGUCACUAGCUUGGCUCGUGGGCGAGCUCAUGGACUCGUCGACGAGCAGCGAGCCCAAAGCCAGUAGCGAGUCGACCAACUAAGCUCGUGACCACAAGUCAAGUUUUGAUGAGCCAAGCGCCUGAGCUACUCGUUUAUCACCCCUAGGGAAGUUAUAAUGGGAAAUAAUAUGAUAUGUAAAGUUAGUGGAAUAGGAACAAAGGAACUAGAUAUGUACUUGAUCUAGAGAGGAAUUUAGUCUAUAGGCAUGUUAGAUGAUAGUGAGUUUGACAUAAUAUUGGGUUGGGGACAUAUUAAAAUCUUCAAUAACUCUGAUUUAAUCACAUCUAUUCCAAAGAGGCAUAGUCUUUAUUUUCUUGAUACAAAACAUUUACUUGGCCAGACAUUAGCUAUUUUAAAUGGUAAACUUACUCUUUUAAAAUUGUGACAUGAAGGACUUAACCAUAUAGGCAAAAAUUUGAAAUCUUUACAAAAUCAAUGAGUUUUUGGAAAAAUAAAUCUUGGUGAAAAAUAUCUUGUGAACAAUGUGUUAGUGGAAAUAACAAAACUCAAAACUACAUAUUAUAUAUAGUCGAAAUUAUCAACACCAAAAAAAAGAAAUGAAAAGAAAAUUUGAAGAAGGAAUUCAAGCACAAAGAAUCCCUUGCGUAGUCUCAAACAAUUUUCAAGCAUUCAAACAUCAAAUAGAAAGUCUUGCUCCGCCCUCACUAUUCUUGCACCGCUUUCCAAAGAUAUCCGAACCUACUGCCGCAUUACCAUCCCUAUAUGGUUCCCAUUCUGGAGUCCAUUAUUCAAAAAAUAUAUUUUUCUCUUUUUUAUUUUCAAUGGCAAUUUUUUUCAAAAGAAAAUAAUAUUAUACAUAAAUCUAAAACUUUUCCUUAUCUUUUAACCACAUAUUUUUCAAAAAAUUACUAUUCUAAAAUACAUUUUUUUAAAAAAGAUCAUGAAUCACGUAGCUUUAUUUUUUGAAUAGAUUUUAUUAAAAAUAACUUUUUUAAUUAUGAUAUUAAAAAGUAUAAAAAGAUUUUAAAUUUAUGUUUAAAAUUAUUUUAUUAAAAAAUAUUUAAUUGAAGAUGAAUUUAUGAAAAAUGAACUUUAAAAUGGGACACAAACUUGAACUUAUAGAUUUACGACAAAUGAAAUCUUAAAUACAUACCUUAUCCCAAGUAAAAAAAAUUAUGUUGGGAAUUAUAAUAAAGAGAAUAUGAUCCCGUAUCAUUUUGUAAGUUAUAAAUUGUUUUCGUGAAAAACUUUAGUUCUAACCAAAAAUAUUUAUAAGCUCAUGUAUCAUGUACAUUUUUUUUUGAAAAUAAAUAUUGUGAAAAGUAAUUUAUAAUGAUUGUACGAUUAAAAUAGUCGAAAAAAAAGUUAUGAAUCCAUGUGCAAAAUUAUUUUAUUAGAAAAAUAUAUAUGAUUGACAAAAGAAUUCGUGAAAAAAAAAAAAAGGAAUUAGCACAGCCUUGUCCUCACAUCCUUGUUCGCAUAUGAGGACAUUGGUUUGAAUUGUAGAUGCAGUUCGAACAACUUGAAUUUUUAGGCAAAAAUCAAAAUUAUUUUAGGCACAAUUUUAAAAAUAAUAAAUUAUUAUUGGAGCAAAUGAUUACGUAUGAAAAUUCUAUCAGUAAUGGCCAACUAAUAUUAUCAUGAUCUUUUCUCAUGUUAUCUGCAUAACUUUUCUGUUCGAUCUUGGGCAGUCUUUAAUCUAGCCAAAAAAAUGUCAAUAGUUUGGACUGUCCGCUCAAUAAUCGCAGGCCCUAAAAUUCUUCACACGUCGACUUCAUUCUAAUGAGCUAGAAAUCUGCACUUCCUACCCUAUAAAGCCUCAUAAGGGGGUCAUUCUUAUAGUAGCCUGAUAACUAUUAUUGUAAGCAAAUUCUACCAAUGAUAGAUGUUUUUCCCAACUUCCUCCAAGAUCUAGGACACGUGCUCAAAGCAUAUCCUCCAAAAUUUGAAUAGUCCUAUCAGACUGUGGGUGGAAAGAUGUACUGAAAUUUAGCUUAGUCCAUAUUGUCUUGUGCAUACUUUUCCAAAAUUUCGAAGUGAAUCACAUAUCUUUGUUUGACAUAAUAGAGACUGGGGUCCCAUGUAAUUUGAUCACUUUUCUAACAUAUAGUCGAGCUAAUUAAUUUAUAUUAAUAGUCAUCUUUACUGAUUUGGAAAACCAACUAUAAAAUCUAUGGUGAUAUACUCCCAUUUCCAUUCAAGAAUUUCUAGUAGGUUUAUUAAUCCUGAUAGCUUCUGAUAUUCUUUUUUUACUCGCUAGCAAAUCAUGGACUUCUCUACGAAUAGACCUACUCCUUUUUUCAUAUUCCGCCACCAAAAUAUGCUUUGAACGUCUUUAUAAAAUUUUUCCCCCAAUGAUGUGCUGCAUAUGAGGCGAAGUGAACUUACUCAAAUAUUUCUUUUCCUAUCUUCUCAUUCUUCGGUACACACAAUCUUCCUUAUCAGGUUUUUUACAUUUAGGACAAAGUGGUCGUUGAUUCUUGUUACUGAUGUUGGCAUCUGUUUCUAUCAUUCCCCUCUUGUUGGGACCUUUUCCAUUCUUCUUGAUAUUUUCAUACCAUUUGCGCUUGGCUAAGGUGCCAUUUUGUUGUUUACUACCUUCACCUAUCUGAUUUUUAUCAAAGGCAUAUACUUGAGCCUUCUCCAGAACCUCUUGAUAAGUACGCAAUUGGAAUACUGUCACUGCUUUCCUAAUGUCAGUUCCUAGUCCAUGCUCAAAAAGUUGAGUUUGUCUCUCCUUUAUGUCCACUAGAUAUGGGAUAAAUAUGGAUAACUCCUCAAACUUUCGCUCAUAAUCAAUGAGCAUCAUUUUUCAUUGCUUCAGCUUAAGAAACUCUACUUCCUUCUUGUCUCUUAAAAUAGUUGGAAAGUACUUUUGAAGCACUAUCACUUUGAACUGUGCCCUUAUAAGGUUAUAUUGUUGCUUCUCGGUGUGGAAUUUAGUAAUCAUCUCCCACCAAUGACCUACUCUUUUCUCUAUCAUAAAUACCACACAAUGGAUUUUUUGUGCAUUGGUGCAUUCCAAAAAUUUGAAGAAACGUUCAAGAUGGCGAAGCCUAUACCUCGAAAGUUACUCAGAUAAUUCCUUUAGCCAUUAUAAUAGAUAAUUGACACAUUGUAAUCCCAAAAAUAAAAUUGAAGAACUUAGCAGAAUAAAAUAAGUUAUUUUAUUGUCUCAUAACGAUGUCAAUUAAUCUAAUCCACUACUGUAAUAUAAAUCUAGCACUUAUUUUAAAAAUUCAACAUCGAUUUUGAACAUUAGAUAAAUAAAAAUCUAAUUUGAAAACUAGUUUUCUAACUAAAUACUAAAUAUUGAAAAAAACCCUUAAAUUCUUGAUCUAGCGAUAUGGACUUUGUUAACAGUCUCAACCUUCAAAUCUGAUCCAUCAUAUAUCUUUAAAAAUAAUUUAGGAUAUAGAAUGAGUAUAUGAAUAUACUCAAUAUAGGUUUCAUGCCAGUAUUUUCACAAAUUAAUUUUAAAAGUAUGCAAAAUACGCACCUAAGUGAGAAUGAGACGAUCGGGUUUCAAUCCCACUAGAAAAUUUUGUUGUGUGCAUAUUUACCUGCUUUUUAUUAAAAGUAUGUAAAAUACGCACUGACACGGCACAUAGACUCAUACUUUCCCUCACGUACCCCUUGCUCAUCAAUUCCUCCACUUGCCUUUGAAGUUUCAUGGUCUCCUUGAGAUUACUUCAGUAAGCUAGCCUGUUUGGAAUGACAACUCCAGAUAUGAAAUCAAUUUGAUAUUUGAUGCCUUGAAUGGGUAGUAACCUACUGGGCAUGUCUUCCAUCAAUAGUUUUCGAAUUCCUACAAUAAAGAAGUAGUCAAACUAGGGAGGGGGGUGUUAGAUUCCUUAAAAUUGAGGAAUAACUCUUUAUAAACCAACAAGAUCAUUUGUUGCCUUUCAACUAUUGCUCUUUUCAACUCACUCUCUUUUGUAAAAAAAUUCACUUUCGACUUUCUCUCCUCUUGGAUGAUGCUUUUUCUUUUUGCUCUUAUGGCUCCACUCUUUUUUCUCACUAUUAGCUGCCUCACUAUUUUCUCUCUUUCUCUCAAUCUUUUCUCUUCCUCGUUGUUCAAUUUGAUUUGAUCCUCAUACACUUAUAGUGGGGUUAAUGGAGCAAAAGUAAUAGAUUUUCCAUUCUUGAUAAAGCUGUACUUAUUUUUGUACCCAUCAUGAAUUACUGUCCUAUCGUAUUGUCAUGAUUUCCCAACAAAAUGUGCCCGGCACGCAUAGGAACUAUAUCGCACAUCACUUCAUCAUGUUAGCUAUCAAAAUAUUGCAAUCUGUAAGGUUUAGGAUGUUUUAACAUGGUUAAUCCCAAUUUCUCAACAUGUAGUGCUAGUUACAUUAGUACAACUGCCACUAUCAAUAAUCAUGCUAUAUACCUUUGUUGUUGAUCUGGCAUCUUGUAUGGAAUAUGUUCUCCCUUUGUUUUUCCAAGUCAUCCACCUUGAUUUGAGCACUUAGAGCUUGCCUCGUAACCAAUAGCUCUCUCACUACAUACUCCACCUUCUCGCCAUCAUUAGCUUUUUCUAAUCUUGGCAUGCCAUCGUAGUCACCCUCACUUUUACUCACCAUUUUCCUAUUGUCUCUCAAAAUCAUUGCCCUUUUGUUUAGAUAUUGAGAAGAAACGUGUCUUGACCCUAAGCGCCUAAAGCAUUUGAUGUCUCGACUCAUGAACGAUUGGAAUUCUACUUUGGAUGUAACCUUGCUAGCACUUUUCUCCUUUCCCUUUGGUAACUCAGUUCUACCCUUCGAAUUAGCUCCAUCUCCCUUGUUGUUAUCCCACUUGGUUUCCAAGAAGAGUUAGAACCCGAUGGAUACCUAGCUGCUCCCUUCAUUUUCAAUUAUUUCUCCACCUUCAUAGCUAGAUGUAGCAUGUUUUCUAACUCCAUAUAAUGUUGUAAUUCAACUACAUUGGCUAUUUCUCUAUUCAAACCAUUCAAAAAUUGAGUCAUAAUGGCCUCCCUAUCCACCUCAACAUUCACUCUAAUCAUGAUCAUUUUUCGUCUCCUUAUGAUAGUCUUCCACACUCAUAAACCCUUGGUAGAAAAUUUGCAAUUUUUGAUUAAACUCCCUACGAUAUGACUAGGCAUGAACCUCUUUCUCAUGAUAGCCUUCAAUUCUUCCCAAGUACUAAUAGGCCUUUCACGAUUCCUCCUCCUAGAUGUCACUACUUGAUCCUAUCAAAUAAUAGCAUAAUCGAUAAAUUUAAGUACUACAAUUUUUACUUUCUUUUCAUCCAAGUAGUUGUCGCAAUCAAAUAUCAAUUCGAUCUUUUUCGCCCACACCAAGUAGGCUUUCGGAUCACUCCUUCCUUUGAAUUAAGAAAUUGUCAUUUUGAUGUUGCCCAUACUCCCAUCAACUCCAUCUCCACCAAGAUCUCUACUACUUCUUUCAUGCCUAACUCCUCUAUCCCUUAUUCUUUCUAUCUUGGCAUCCAUUAAUGUGUGUUAUUCAAUGUCACUACGAGCCUCGUAUUUUACAAGAUUCUCCACCCUAGGCUCUCGCCUAACCUGUCUCCUUGUAUUAGGAACUUUCUUACGUAAAUUGGCAAGCAAUGGGUAUUACCUUUCUAUCCACUCCUCUUGCUUAUCCAACAUGUCCCUCACAUCUUCAAACAACCUCUCGAAUCAUCGAAAUACUUCCACCCACAUGUUAACUUGAUUGUUGUUCAUGUUAGACAUCCUAAAUCUAAAAUAGUGUUUAUCUUACAUGUAUACGCUCGUGUAUCACUCAAUUUGUCUUUUUCCCUCUAAUUGUUUUACCACUCUUGCUUUUUUCUACUCAAUGCUUUCGCCCCAAGUGCUUCAAAGAACUAAUUUGAUCUCAACCACGUUUUAUCCUCGAAAAAUUCAAAUUAGGAUGUAAGUGAGAAUUGUAAUAGAGAAGACUCGAGAAAGAAAGAAGCAAAAAGAAUUUGACACAUUUGAAUGGGAACUCUAUUAAUUCAAAAAAGUGGUUCUUGAAUAUUUUUUAUUGAACACUUUUUUUUUAACGUUGGGCUAUCAUUGCAAUAAAAAAAAUUCUUUCUACUAUUAUUUUUUACAUUUUUUGGAUUUUUUUUGCUAAACACGAGGAAAUUUAACUAGGAGCCCAAAAAUUUCGAAAGAAGUUGAUUUGGAUUUAUAUUAGUGCACAACAACUUUUGAAAUUGUUCGCAACUUUUUAUUGGAUUGAAAUACUCAAAAGAUGAAGCAUGCAAAGAACGAUAAAGAAAGAAAACAAAGACUCAAACGAAAGGAAAAAGGAUAUAACCUUAAUUCUAGGAGCCUGGGCUCUGAUACGAACUGAUGUGAACUUACGUAGUAAUAAUACUUAUAAAACCUACACAAGAUUGAAUCAAACAAAAGAAACCAAAAAUCAACAUUUAGAGUUUGACCCAAAAAUAUUGAAGCAAGUAACUAACACAAUCAUUAACAAUAUUUUGACCUCUUGAUCACAAGAUUUAAGAAUCUGACCUAGAUUGUUUGAAUGCCACAAGAAAAUAAUUCUUGAUAAGUUUGAAAUUUAGUUCAAUGAAGAACAAGGAAUUGAUGGCAAAAUUGUUCACAAAAUAAUCUCUCUAAUAUUGAUAUGAAUGAAAGUUGUUUACAAUAUAAGAUAAUGAGUCCUAAUUAUUGGGAACCCAUGAAACCUAGUUAAAAAGGAAUAAAAUCUAAAGAUUACAAGUGUUACCAGAAAAGUAGAGUUUUAACGUAAUUAGAAAAACUCGCGCAAUUGGAAAAUUCGCGUGCUAGAAACACACUAUGCAACCUCAUGGUGUUACAGCAUGCGGUUACAUAGACCAAGUUAAAUUCUUCAUUUGCCUUUCUACAGCAGGCUAUGCGGUCUCAUAGUUAAAUUUUUCCAUCCCUUCGUCCGUUGCUCAAAUCACGUUGAACCAACUUGUUUCUUUUCCCGAGCCCAAUACGAAACUUAUUGAUUUGCUUGCUAAGAUUGAUGUUUUAUGUACCAUGACUUAAGCAAAUAUUCACAUAAUUUCUUUAACCCGCUUUGCUCGCGUCCUAAUCAUCAACCCUUCUUCAAUGAUUAACGGAUCUUUGUCUGGACUUGCCUUUGUUGUAUUCGUUCCAUGGAUCACAUCAGUGUGCCUUACAAUCCUCUUUAGUAUAGGUAAGAUAACCAAAAAAAAAAAAAAUCAAGAUAAAACCAAGUCAGAUAUAAAUAUUCAUAUUCAUAUAAAGCCAACCCUCCCAUAUCUGCCAAACCUGAAUUUUUUUUUUUUAGUUAAGUUGAUUGGCUUAUACUUUAAGUUACGUAAAUUGUUAGGAAAAUGUGUAAUUGGCAAUAUGUGACCAAAGGACCUAUUAGUCAAAAUUAUAAAGUCAAGGACUAAAUUAUACAGGUCAAAUAGUUCAGGGACUAAAGUUGCAAUUUAGUAAAGGUCAUAGCAUAGGUCUAGGGUAAAGUGGGAUGCUUUGAAGAUGCAAACGGCACGUUGAUGUCGCUGGAGUUUCGCCCUGACCUUGCUAGAGCCAAAAUUGCAGAACUGAUCUCGCUGGAGUUUCGCUGGUCUAUCGCCUGAGCGAAGGUACGUCGCUCGAGUUUCGCCAGGACCUCGCUCGAGCGACUGUGUUAUCUGGCCUUUGGUAAUUUUAAUGCCUCAUGAAUUUUUAACGCUCCAUAUUACCAAAUUCGACCUACUAUAUAAACAAAACGUCCGAUUUUCAUUACGUGAUCUUUGGCAAACAUUAAAACAACAAUUCCUCUCAACUUCCAAAGGAUCAAGAGCCAAAAUAAAUUCAUUCUUUUCAUCUUUGAUUCUCAUGCUUCUUUGAAUAAAAACAUCAACCCUCACAAAACCAAAACACCCUUUCAUAUCUCUAUAUAAACUUCCAGAAGAUCAUCUGUUUGAAGAUCCGGGAAGGAAAUUGCUUGAAGAGUUGGAGUGCUUGGUGAUUCACAGGAGGUAGAAGAUAUUCAAAGCUGGGAUUUUGGCGCAGAUCUGCAAAAUCCAGGAUAGCUGUGGUCGAUACAGUAAGGAGGUCAGAAUAUUGUUAGAAUCAAUAAUGUCUGACGUACUGUAAGUCAAUAUCUUCUAUAGUAGAUCUCUACUGGCUUGUGCCCAGAGUUUUUACCCAGUUGGGUUUUCUCCGUCAACAUUUUGUUGUGUUUUUACUGCUUUCUGUUAUUUAUUUUUCAACCGGUAAUUCAACUUAGGUAGAUAAAGUAUGUGAAUGAAUCUAGGCAAUGCAUAAUUGAUGUGACUUGUUGUAUCAGUUAAUCAAUUAUUUUAAUUCCGUAUAAACACCUAUUCACCCCCCUCUAGGUGUUGGUUGGGUCGAACUAUUGCUUUUUCAAGUGGUAUCAGAGCUAAAUCUCGAGUCCUGACCCAUAGUUGUCUAGAUGAGUCAAUCACUUUUUGUACCUCUGUAUUUUGACGGAAAUAAUUAUGCCUAUUGGAAGGUUAGAAUGCAUGUGUUUCUUAAGUCUUUAGAUGAGCAUGUUUGGAUAAGUGUGCAAAAUGGUUGGAAACCUCCCUCUACUAUCGUAUCAAGAACUGUUAACCUUACCGACAUAUCACUAUGGACUAGGAUGAAAUAGCUGAGUGUAAUUGGAAUAGCAAGGGUCUUCAUGCCCUGUUUAUGGCCGUGUCUCCCGAAGAGUUUAGGAGAGUGUCAAUGUGUGAAACUGCUAAAGAGGUUUGGGACAUUCUUGAAACUACACAUGAGGGAACUAAAACAGUAAAGAACUCUAAGUUACAAAUGCUAACUUUUAGGUUUGAAGAAGUGAGAAUGAAGGAUGAUGAAACGUUUGACGAAUUCUAUACUAAAUUGAAUGACAUUGUUAACUCUAGCUUCAAUCUAGGUGAGAAAAUUCUCGAGUCUAAAAUUGUGAGAAAAGUGCUUAGGUCCCUGCCCGAGAGAUUUAGGCCUAAAGUCACUGCCAUUGAGGAAAGUAAGGACCUAGAUGAAGUUGAAAUUGAAGAACUGGUAGGAUCGUUGCAAACUUAUGAACUCACUAUUACACAACCUAAGAAAGGAAAGUCCAUAGCCCUAAAAUCCAUCAAAGAAGAUGAAUCUUCUGAUACUGAGUCACUUAGGAACGAGGAAAUCGCAUACUUUGUUAAGAAAUUUCAAAAAGUUUUCAAGAAUAAGAGAAAGCCUCAGGAUAAAAAGAGUGGAGCUCCUAGCAGAUUCACAAAAGCAAAAACUGAAAUGUUUAACAAUAAAGGGUCAAGUGAUAAAUCACAUUUGGUUAGGUGCCAUGAGUGUCAAGGUAUAGGUCACUAUAGGAAUGAAUGCCCUAGUUAUAAGAAGAACCAAAGAAAAGGGAAAGGUAGGGCCUUAGUUGUCUCACUUAUAGAUAAUGAAUCUAAGACUAGUGAUAGACAGGAAUCUUCUAGUAGUGAGGACGAAGGAAACUAUAUGGCAUUUGUAUCGACUGUUAAGAGUGAAUCUGAUAAGGAGAGUGACAAGGUUGAGAAAGAACUUCCAAACGAUAAUUCUAGUAAUGAGGAAGAGGAUGACAUAGACAUACAAGAAAGCUUAUCAACUUUUAUUUAAGAAGAGUCUUAAAAUCAAAAAGUUCAAUAAAGCCUUACUCAAAAAGGUUGAUGAACUUGAAAGAGAAAAAGAGAAACUUACUAGUAAUCUUCAGAAUUCACUUAAGAGUGGCAGUGAGUUAAAGUGUGUCAAUGAGAACUUAGAAGACAAGAUUAAGACUUUGACUAGUGAAUUGGUGAAAUCUAAUGCUCAUCUUCAGACUUUCAUAAGUGGGACUAAGAAAUUGGACAAUAUUUUGGAAAUGAAUAAGUCUGCAGGAGAUAGGAAGGGUCUAGGAUAUGUUGAGCGUAAUACAUAUGUUGCUGGACCUUCUAAGACUGUUUUUGCUUCUACCUCUAAGAAAGUUAAUGAUGUUAGUAGUUCAAAUAAGGGUAAGAAUGUUCCGAGAGAACAGAGUCAUCAAUCACGUAGGAACUUCAUACCCAGAUACCCUCAGCCACGUACCUUUGAGCCUAGGUUCAUUCCCACAUGUCACCACUGUGGAGCCUUAGGACACACUAGGCCUAGAUGCUAUAGGUGAGGGAAUGAGCGUAAAAAUCUGAACAUUCCUAGUCAGGUUAGCUUUCUGUCUAAUCAAGUUAGUCAUUUGACUGAGAUGUUUACUAAGCUUACUAGGAGUACUUUAUCAUCUAAGAAAGUUUGGGUCAAAAAGGGUGAUCUAGCUAGACAUUCAGGUCAAAAAAAGUGUUUUGUUGCUCAUGUUGCAUUGAAAGCCCAAAACUACAACAUGUGGUACCUAGAUAGUGCAUGUUCUAGGCAUAUGUGUGGUAAUAAGACUUUAUUCACUACUCUUGAUGAAUGUAACGGUGGUAUGGUUACCUUUGGAGAUGGGGGUUCUGCACCUAUUCUUGGCAAAGGUACUGUACAAAUACAUGGUUUACCUGUGAUCUCUAAUGUGCUUUAUGUGGAAGGUUUAAAGUCUAACUUGUUAAGUAUUAGUCAAAUUUGUGAUGUUGAUUUUGAGGUAAAUUUUGUGCAAAAGAGAUGUACUGUUUAUGAUUCGUCUGGUGGGGUGGUUCUUGAAGGGGUUAGAACAGCUGAUAAUUGUUAUGGAGUCUUGCCUAAUUCUAACUAUGUGUGUAAGAGUGCUAAAACUGAUGUGAGUGAACUCUGGCACAAAAGAUUAGGUCAUUUGAACUAUAAGAGUCUAGUACAACUGGCUAAGAAAGAAUUGGUAGAUGGUUUGUCUAAGAUAGGUCUCAGUGAAAAUGUUGUGUGUGGAUCAUGUCAACUAGGUAAACAACUUAAGGGGAACCAUAAGAAGACUUCAAAAAUUCUGACCAAAAGACCCUUAGAAUUGAUACACAUGGAUUUAAUGGGACCAUCUAGGACUGAGAGUUUAGGUGGUAAGCGAUACAUUCUUGUUGUGGUAGAUGACUUCUCGAGAUUCACAUGGAUAGAAUUGCUUAGGGAAAAAUCUGAUACAUGUGAUCUCAUAAAGUCUUUGUGUAAACGGCUUAGCAAUGAACUAAAUCUCAAAGUGUCUAGAAUGCGUAGUGACCAUGGAAAAGAGUUUGAGAAUUUUAAUCUUGAAAGUUUCUGUAUGGAUGAAGGGAUAUUGCAUGAGUUCUCUUCUCCUAUCACUCCUCAACAAAAUGAGGUGGUUGAAAGGAAGAAUCGGGUUCUUCAGGACAUGGCUAGAGCCAUGCUUCAUGGCAAGGGACUAGCCCUACAUUUUUGGGGAGAAGCUGUUAACACUGCAUGCCACAUAAUUAAUAGAGUUUACCUUAGGCCCAAGACUGAUCAGACUCCAUAUGAGAUACUUAAGGGUAAAAAGCCUACUGUUAAGUACUUUCGAGUGUUUGGGAGUAAGUGCUACAUUUUGCGUGAUAGAGAGAACUUGAGUAAGUUUGAAUCGAAGAGUGAUGAAGGAAUCUUCUUAGGGUACUCUAGAAAUAGUCGAGCAUUUAGGGUGUAUAACUUACGUACUCGUGCGGUGAUGGAGUCAGUAAAUGUUGUGAUAGAUGAUGCUGUGAGUGAGGGGGAGAGUGUUGCAAAUUGUGAUAAAGAUGGUGAUCUUAUAAGUUCUAGUGAUCCUACUGAGCCACCUGUGUCUGAAUCAUCUCUUAGGAAACCUGAAACACCUGAAAAGAAAACACUUCCACAAGAUCGAGAUAAAGAUCCUAAGAAACCAUCGACUAGGGUUAAGUCUAAUCAUCCUAAGGACAAUAUCAUUGGGGAUCUAGAUGAAGGCAUGAGGCUUCGUAGGAGAGUACUGAACAAUCUAGCAUACACUAGCUAUGUCUCUCAGGUAGAACCUAAGAAAGUUGAAGAGGCUCUUAGUGAUGAGUGUUGGGUGAAUGUGAUGCAAGAGGAGCUCAAUCAAUUUGCGAGGAACAAUGUGUGGAUCUUAGUUCCCAGACCUGAGAAUUGUAAUGUUAUAGGUACUAAGUGGAUCUUUAAGAACAAGACAGAUGACCAAGGUACUAUAACUAGGAAGAAGGCUAGACUAGUUGCUCAGGGUUAUACUCGAGUUGAAGGAAUUGAUUUUGAUGAGACUUUUGCCCCUGUUGCACGACUUGAGUAUAUUCGGAUUCUGCUUGCUGUUGCAUGUACAUUAGGGUUCAAGUUGCAUCAAAUGGAUAUUAAGAAUGGACUUCUUCAAGAAGAAGUCUAUGUGGAACAACCAAAAGGAUUUGUUGAUCCUAAGUUUUCCCACUAUGUCUACAAACUUCACAAAGCCCUCUAUGGUCUGAAGCAAGCUCCUAGAGCUUGGUAUGAGAGAUUUACAUCAUACCUUGAAGAACAUGGAUUCUCUCGAGGUGGUCCAGAUAGGACCUUAUUUAUUAGACAUGUUGAAGAAACUAUCACCAUUGCUCAGAUUUAUGUCGAUGAUAUUAUUUUUGGUUCUCCUAUUGAGUCUUUAGCUUAUGAGUUUGCUGAGUGUUUGAAGCAAAAAUUUGAGAUGAGUAUGGUUGGGGAGUUGAGUUAUUUCCUUGGACUUCAGGUGAGAUAGACAGAGGAUGGACUGUUCAUUUCACAGUCUAAGUAUGCUAAGGAUCUAGUUAAGCGCUUUGGGCUGGAUAGUAAGAAGCAUACUAGGACACCUAUGAGUACUAGCUUGAAGUUAGGUCGUGAUGCUUCAGGUAAGAGUGUCGAUCCUUCCCUAUAUAGAAGCAUGAUAGGUAGUCUUCUUUAUCUCACAACUACUAGACCUGACAUUGCUUUUAGUGUUGGAGUGUGUGCUCGAUUUCAGGCAGAUCCAAAAGAAUCACACUUAAGCUCUGUUAGACGCAUCAUUAGAUAUGUGAGUGAAACAGUUAAUUUAGGAAUAUUCUACUCUAGGAAUUCUAAUCUUGACUUGGCUGGUUACUCCGACGUCGAUUGGGCCGGGAACGCAGAUGAUAGGAAAAGCACGAUAGGGGGUUGUUUUUACAUGGGUAGCAAUCUCGUAGCCUGGUUGAGUAAGAAACAGAAUUCUAUAUCUCUAUCCACGGCAGAGGCCGAAUACAUAGCUGCAGGGAGUUGCUGCACUCAGCUUCUCUGGAUGAAGCAGAUGCUGAGUGAUUAUGGGAUUAGUCAAGGGACCAUGACUGUUUUCUGUGAUAAUACAAGUGCUAUAAAUAUUUCUAAGAAUCCCAUUCAACACUCUCGAACAAAACAUAUUGACAUACGACAUCAUUUUAUUCAUGAGCUUGUUGAAUCACAUGUAGUCUCUCUCGACCAUGUCUCUACUGAUAAUCAAUUGGCAGAUCUACUUACGAAACCACUAGAUGGAUUGAGGUUUGAGUCGCUUCGGACGGCUGUUGGUGUUUGCUCACCUAUCUGAUCAUGGAUUCAUGCAUAUUCAUACAUUUAUCACAUAUGCACCUAGUCACUUUAUAUCUUGCGUGUGAUCUAUGUGUGUGUGAUGCAUUUUUGACUGUUAGUUUGCAGUUUAGUAGUCUUUUGUGUGUUUAAACAAUAAUAAUAAUAAUAAAAAUUUUAAGAAUUUUUUUCUGUGCCUUUUAUGUAACGAAUAUGGCAUGUGCAUUAAAGAUCAAACUACAUUUUUCAUCAUAUGUACGAGUCUGAGGUUCCAUCAUUGUUCAUUUUUGUCUGUGGAGUUCUGGGUAUAUGGCUUGUCAUUCAUUUUCACACAGCACACACUAUAGUCCUAUAAGCGAGUCUUGACCGCAUGGGUGAGACUUGGGAUGGUGUUCUUCUGUGAUUGGGGUUGUAUGUACAUGUGACUUGAUCUGGGACGAGUGUAACCUAAUAAAUAUUGUCUUUCCCAAGUUUUAUUUUGAUUAUUCGUUGAACGUAUGACUGUCUUCGGGGCCUACUUGACUCGAACAAUUAAGCCUGAGGGGUUUCUAACCUGGUCCCUAGGGUCAUCUAACUUGGGAGUUACCGGCCCAAAGUUCGUUACUGGGGUCAUUUCUGUCGCCUAAUGAGGAUUGCAUUACACUUAAGUUCUUUUGCUCUUACUAUUUACAAAAAAAUAAAAAAAUAAAAAAAACAAAAAUAAAAAAACAAAAAAAUUUAUUAAAAUUAUUGAAUCAUACAGUUAGGGGGAGUACAAUUGUGACAAUCGUAAUAAUUGAUAUCGAUCCUUAUGGAAUUGGAUUUGACUGUCACUUGGUAGCCAUUCACCUUUGUCUGGUUGUUUUCACAUGUCCUUUCUUACUAAUUUAAGGUUUUGAGUCUAACUUGCAUGGACUACGUGGCACUUCUCACGGUGAUGUUUUGUAUACAUUUUACUCCACGGGAUGCUGAACUAUGUGUGGGCUUAAGAUUUGUCUACGUGCUGGUUGUCGGGUUUGUGACUUUAUGCUUUUUGGUGGUAUCGUUUACAUACUUUGGUUCCAUACUUCGGUUUUGAUUUUUGGGAUUAUUUUUCGAUGCUCUGCAAUUGUCUUAUCUUUGCAAUUCCACGCUUUGGAGCUAAUUUCGUCAUUUCUUGAAACUUGUGUUCUUUUUCUCAAAAUUCAAAAAUUUGGUGCUAUUUCUGACAUUUGAAUUUCGCUCGAGUCUCGUCUGGACUUAGCUCGAGCGGCAAAAGCAGAAGGCUUUUCGCUCGAGUUUCGCCCAUUCCUCGCUCGAGCGACGGUACUUUUUAAACCCCUCGCCCGUUUCAUUUUCGCGCAUUUUUUUCUUUCUCUUUUUUUUUUCCUUCUUCCAUUUGAUUCCCACCUCUUGACAUUACUUGGUUUCUUACAUAAGUUUGAGGGCCCUAACCUUGAUUCCUAAUCCGGAUUUCAUCUUCUUCAUAUUGAUUUUGAGGUAUUUUCAUUUUUUUCUUGUUUUUCUCAUUUUUGUGUUGUUUCAUUGUUCUUGUGUUUUGCUUGCUUGAUACAUGCAUUAUUAUGAUCCGCAUGCAUUUCGUGAUUGGUUUUAUUGGUACACUUCGCAUUUGCCUUAACCAUUAAUUAUGGAUUGCGUGUUCUUCCAUUGUUUCAUUAUGGCAUUUUCGUGUUUUUGGUACCAUGUUCGUCGUGGUCAUUCUUGCAUUCCGUUAAUCCGUUUGAUGUGUCGUUUGUUUCAUUUUAAAGCCCUUGGAUUCUAGUUUGUGGGACUAUGCUUGGAUGUGUGCUUGGGUCUCGUAUGUGCUUGGAAUUGUGUGCCGAAGUGACGCCCAUCAUGUGUUCGAUGAAAGUCCCCUGUUAUGUUUUGUUUGUUUUCCUUAGUUUGUGUGUUUCAGUUUUUCCUCCUCUUCAUUUCGUCUUUGUUUCAUUCUCGUCCCUUGACUUGUUGAGUGUUUUUACACAUUUUUUUUGGUGUAUAAGUACAUCAUGCUUGGUUUGCUCUUAGGGUCGUUCACGUUUUUCGAUGCAUCUCUUUCGUGCCUCAUUUGUGUGUGCGGUGUUUCAUUUCAUAUUGAAUCGUACCCCAUGCAUUCUUCAUCUUACUUAUUAAGUUCCGUCUCUCCAUGUGCUAGAUGGCCUGUAAGCGUUCUCGACCCUCUGCACAGCCAGCUAGUGGUUCGACGUCGUAUAGUCGUUCCAGAUUCAUUUCUGCUACAGCUCAAGAGGUCUUCACUUCUCAGUUCUCCUUACGCCCCGUUCUCAUGGAGCGUGAGGUAAUCCUCUCUGACCUUCCUGUUGAUAUCGCCGCCAUUUUUGUUUCUUGGGGUUGGGAGCCCCUUCUUGUUGGUCUUUCACCUCCUCCUCCACUCCUCGUUCAGGAGUUCUAUGCUAAUAUUCAUGAUAUCGACGGCUCGUCUUUUAGGGUUUUUCUUAGAGGUCAUUCUUUUAGGGUUACUCCAUCGGCUAUAGCUCAUGCUUUAGGUAUACCUCAGAUUACACAUCCGACUUAUCCCUAUAUUUUACCUGCUUCUAUUCCGGCCGAUGCUCUUGUUCAGUCGACGCUUUUGAACACCCCGUCUGUUGGGGGGCCUAUGGCGAUGGCCACAGGUUCCUUACCCGCUGAUCGUCAGGUUUUGUUGCGCAUCGUGUGCACAAACCUGUGGCCUGUUGCCCAUACCUCUUCAUUACUUAUGGUGCGUGCCCGUUUUCUAUAUGCCCUUCUUCAUGGAGACUCGAUCGACCUUCCUAACUUUGUGUGCCAGCAGAUUCUGGCUUCAUUUUGUACUCCUGGUGGUCGGAUCGGGUUGCCUUAUGCUUGCUUGAUUCAUAGGGUUGCUUUGUCUUUGGGUGCUUCUUUUCCAGAGGAUUCGACUUGUCGCAUAGGACGUCCGAUAGGACAGCAGACCAUUCAUCAGAGUCGAUCCCAUGCACUGCCAUCUUCCUCUUCUGCUCGUGCUACAGCUCAGGCUGCGACCUUUGACAUUCUUGAUUUUUCAGAGCCCUUUGAUCCUAUUACUGAGAUUCUUACUAGGGGUUCCUGGGUGUCUCUUCCGCCUCGUACGGAAUUUCCUUCGGCCAUUCCGCUUAGUUCUACCUUUCCUUCGACAUUUACUUCUGCUCCUGGGAUGGCUGCUUUGCCCAUUGACCCCAUGGUAACGCUUAUGGGACAGAUGUCUACUUUGGUCGAGCAGUAGGCUCGUAUGAUGGCAGAGAUCACGCAGUUACGUGCUGCUUCCGAGCGUCAGUCAGCUGAGCUUUCUACUUUUCGCUGUGCUCUUGCCGUGUGUCAGCGUCAUUUGUGUUGGAUUCGUGAUAGUUUGGAGGAGGACACGAGUGCCGAGAGCGGUGCUGAUUCUUCGGAUGAUGGAGGUGCUGAUUAGUUAGUUGAUUGUUUUUGAUCCCUUGUCCUUUGUGACAAAAAGGGGGAGUAGAUAUUUGGAUAGAUAGAUCUUCAAUUUUUUGGUAAUUGUGUUAUACUUCAUGACUAGAUUAAGUUUUUUGAUGUUUUGGCAAUAUUAAUGUAUGUUUUUGGAGUUUUUGACUUACAUUAUUAUUGCUUCUUAAUCUGGUUAAUGACAUAUGAUCGAUUUCUUGUUUAUUGUUUCCAUUUUAUAUGCUUUUACACUUGGUAUUUGAGUUUUUAAUUUUCAGGAAACAGGUUCAACAAGAGAUUGCUACUUUAGUUGAAUACAUAGGUUGUUUGGAGUCAUGUUUAUUUUUGUCCUUGACUUUCAUAUGUAUUUUUAUCACAGAAUGCCAAAGGGGGAGUUUGUUAGGAAAAUGUGUAAUUGGCAAUCUAUGACCAAAGGACCUAUUUGUCAAAAUUGUAAAGUCAAGGACGAAAUUGUACUGGUCAAAUAGUUCAGGGACUAAAGUUGCAAUUUAGUAAAGGUCAUAGCAUAGGUCUAGGGUAAAGUGGGAUGCUUUGAAGAUGCAAACGGUGCGUUGAUGUCGCUGGAGUUUUGCCCUGACCUUGCUAGAGCCAAAAUUGCAGAACUGACCUCACUGGAGUUUCGCUGGUCUAUCGCCUGAGCGAAGGUACGUCGCUCGAGUUUCGCCAGGACCUCGCUCGAGCGACUGUGUUAUCUGGCCUUUGGUAAUUUUAAUGCCUCACGAAUUUUUAACGCUCCAUAUUACCAAAUUCGACCUACUAUAUAAACAAAACGUCCGAUUUUCAUUACGUGACCUUUGGCAAACAUUAAAACAACAAUUCCUCUCAACUUCCAAAGGAUCAAGAGCCAAAAUAAAUUCAUUCUUUUCAUCUUUGAUUCUCAUGCUUCUUUGAAUAAAAACAUCAACCCUCACAAAACCAAAACAAUUGAUGUGACUUGUUGCAUCAGUUAAUUAAUUGUUUUAAUUCCGCAUAAACACCUAUUCACCCCCCUCUAGGUAUUGGUUGGGUCGAACUAUUGCUUUUUCAUAAAUAUUAAGUGAAAUUAAUCAAGUUUUAUCUUAAUGGCCUUGCUUUCAAAAUUUAAAUUACACCUCUAUAUACAUAUAAAUCAAGUUUCCAAUUCUCCCUUAUGAAGUUUAGAGCAUACAAACACAUAUAUACACUCGUGCAAUCUUAUGGCAAAAGUUAGAUAAAGAAGAUAUGUUAAGAAAAAUGAAAAAGAAGAAGAGGAAUUGUAUUUGUACUCUUGGACUUUAAUUUUGUUGUCAAUUAAUGAUUCAUACAAACAAAAGAAAGAAAAAGUGGAAAUGAAGAUGAAGUGAGGUAUGCCAUAGCAAGUCUCCUUAAUAUAAAUUUCGCCCAUACAUUUUUUGGUGCCAACAUGAUUAUUAGACGUCUUUCUAAGAUAUGCUUAUUUCAAAGUUGGUACUAUACUUUACCAUCCUUAUCUGUCGAACCAAAUUGUAGAGAUUCUCGAACGGAAUAAAUAGGAAUAAAAAUGCCUAGAUGGAGUAGAAUUUUAUUUCAAUAAAAUAAAGGGAACAAAAUUUUGAGAAGAAGAGAGAAUUAGAAAUCAAUUAUAACUUGAAUUGAUUUGGUGUAGGAAUCUGGAACCAAAUGUCCCCGUUUAUAGAUUUUAAAGUGGCUUUUGGAAUGGUUGUAUCUUCUGACAUAAAUUAAUAGGACAAUUAGAUCACGUCUUUUUAUUUUUAAUAAUUUAGAUUGCACUCUAUUAAAAGGUUAUGACUUUUCAUUAUCCACGACUUUUCAUUAUCUACAUUUUUUAAAAGUCACAUACAAUAUGACAUAUCAUGACUUUUCGAUAUGAAUCUUUUGCAUUUCAAAAUUCAUAACUAAUUAUCAUACCAAUUGGAGAAGUUUUUGUCACAACUAUAAAAAAUAACGAUAUAAUUCCAAUUAUCCCCACAUGAAUGAAAGAAAGUCGACAAGAUCAAGGAAGACGAGAAGAGUAUUACUAAUAAAUAAUGCAUUAGGAUAGGUAUAUUUCGCUUUGAACAUUCCUUCAUAAGAAUCUAUUGGACUCACUUGACUAAUCAUUGGGCACAACAUUUUGAAUAGUUGAUCAUUAUUGCAAUCCUAGAUAAUAGAUCAUACAUAUUACCUUUAUUUCAAUUUCUACUUCUCUAUUGUGUCCAUUAUUUCGACCAUGAACUCUCUUGGAUUCUGCAAGUCUAUUAGAAAAUUUGCCCAAGUAAAAUUCUCAUUUGAACUACCAAAGUUCUCACUCACAUAAGUGAUUUUCUAUAAAGAGUACUCUAUACAGUACUCCUCUUGUAUUGUUUACUAAAUAUAUUCAUCAUUAAAAGUAUAGCUUAACCUAACCAAUCUUUAGUAAGCUAUAUUUAUUUGCAUCAUAAAAAUGUGAAAGAGUAAGAACUCAAAAUGCUUCUCAUCUAAUUGUUCAUAACUAGUUUUCCUAUUGAACCUAGUCCAUGGGAUCUCUAGUCACCUCUAAGGUUUCCAUUGAGCAGAUGCAUUAUUGAUGAGUGCUCCACACUCAUUAUAUUUAUGUCACUUAAUUCAUUAUUUUGUUACCUUUGAGAAUGUUUUAGAGCAUUUUAAUGUGUGUUUUGAUGUUGUGAUAUAGGUUGAUUAAAUUGAAGGAAAUAGGCAAAAAUUGGUGAAAUUGGAUGAAAGGACCAUAUUGUAAGAGAUUCAAAGUUUGAGGACUAAAAUGUAAUUAAUCAAAAGUUGUGUCAAACCUUGUGAUGAAGAUCCGAGAGCGUUAGGAGUCAAUUAGAUGAAGAAAGAUGUCAAAGGGAUCAAAUUUAGUAAAAAUAUGAUGACAAAUCAAUUUCCAACCAACAAGUUAUGCUCCAGAGUUUUAGCCUCACAUUGAGACCCAUUUUUAACAUAGCAAACAAUUGAAUUGGAGAAUGAUGCCUGAAGCAAAGUUGUAUCCUUUGAAUUAGUUUUCUAACACAUCUUGAAUCACCUUAAUAGGAUAUUGAAAGUUAUGCUAAAAAUACUGAAAGACGAAAAGAAUGUCGUUUAGGCUGAACCGGGCGCCGAGGCACCUAUCUUGGGUGCUGUAGGGCUUGCUGAAAUUAUGCAGAAAUCAUGGCGCCACAGCGCCCAAAUUGGGCACCGAGGCGCCACCUUAUGAGGGAAGAAUUUUACAAUCUUUGGACUCUCCUCACGGCCCAAUCCAACCCUAUUCUUUCCAAGAUUUGAAGAGCAUAUAAAUACUAUCCUAAUGACACAACUUCAAGGGGGAACAACAGUCGGAAAAAAACAUAGAAAUCUGGAAUUGGAAGAGAGCUUCAACCACCAGGAGAUUGAGAAGAGAUUCAGCCAGCAAGGACAACAAUUUGAAGAAGGACGGCUGGACACAAUUGGACAUGGCUGGAGAAUAAAUAAAAGAGGAAAUUAAUUGAGGGAAAUUAGCAAACUUUGGAAGAAGAAAUCGAGCAGCAACAAAAUGAGUUUUUCCAAUCCUUUUUCUUGUCCAUGUUAUUUCUUUAUAAUUUAUCCAUGUCGAUUCUCUGAAUAAUAACUGGACUUUAAUCCUAGGGAUCUGUGUAGCCUACUUAGACAUGUUUUAAUUCCUAUAUAAUUAUUUCGUUUGAUCUUUUCGUUUAUUUUUUCAUGUUGUUCGUGUGUAAUACUUUUAAUUAACUGACCACUAAUUGAAUGAUAAAUUUCGGCGCUCGAGAGAGGCAAAUUAAGGCGUGAUCUAAGGUAAUAUAACUUAGAUUUUGAAGGUUUCGGAAGAAAGUGCGAAAUCUUUGAGGCUUGUUUAAAUUAAAAAUCACAUGCUUGAUAAUUUUUAUGUUUUAGUUUGGAGUAGAAAUAUUGGAAUUAAAAUAUAGAAAUAGAUUCUGUUUGGCACUCGAGAGAGGGAAAUUGAAUCAAUUUAGUGUUCUUGCCUAUAAAUUUUGGAAAGAUUGAUAGAAAUAGUUAUAAAGGUUGAAAAAUAUUGUCGAUAAUACAGUGAAAUCAUUCCCCAGGCUUUUAUAAUUUGAAUAGAGACUUUACAAUUUAUCCUCAUUUACUUGCAUCGUUCAUCCCAUGUACUUUAAUUUAGUAUAAACACAUCGUGUUAAAAUUUGAUUUUCUAAAUUAAGUGAAAGCUGAAAUAAUUAUAAUACUCAAUAAGAUUUAAAUAUCAAUCUCUGUGGGUUCGACACUCUUACUCUAAUACUAUAUUACAAAACUUGAUAUCGUACACUUGUAGUAUAAAAUCACGUUGUAUAAAUUGCGUGGCAAGUUUUUGGCGGGCAUUAUAGCGCCCAGUUCGACCGAAAUGACAUUCUGCGCGUCUUUCAGUAUUUUUAGCAUAACUUUCUCUCUCAAUGUUUGAUUAAGGUGAUUCAAGAUGGAUUGGAAAGCUAAUUUAAAGGGCUACAACUUUACUUUAGGCAUUUUUCUUCAAUCCAAUCGUUUGCUAUGUCAAAAAUGGGUCUUAAUGUGAGGCUAAAACUUCAAAGCAUAACUUAUUGGUUGGAAAUUGAUUUGUGAUUAUAUUUUGACUAAAUUUGAUCCCUUUGACAUCUUUUUUCAUCCAAUUGACUCCUAACACUCUUAGAUUUUUAUCCCGAGGUUCGACACAACUUUUGAUUAAUUGCAUUUUAUUCCCCAAACUUUGGGUCUCUUAUAAUUUGGUCCUUUCCUCCAAUUUCACUAACUUUUGCCUAUUUCCUUCAAUUUAAUCAACCUAUAUCACAACAUUAAAACACACAUUAAAACGCUCUAAAACAUUCUCAAGGAUAAUAAAAUAAUGAAUUAAGUGGCAUAAAUAUAAUAAGUGUGGAGCACUCAUCAAUUAUAGGCUUUAAACCUGUUUUUCACGAUAUGCAAUCUAUUCUCUCCGUAGAUAACUAUUUCAUAAACGGACUAGUUAAAAAUUAUGGGCUAGUCACAGUCUUUUUACAUGUUAAAGGCUCGUUUUCAAUUAUAAAUGAUAUAAAGUCUGGGCCAAAAGAUUUAGCAACUUUUGCUCUUUCACUCCUUUUUUGUUCUCAUUCUUUAUUGUUUUUCAAAAGCAUCACCACUUUUCCUUAUCCCUAUAUUCGGGAGUAUCAUUUUUAUUAGGAAACACACUCUCAAAGAAUUUGACAUCUUUGGAUUCAAUAAUUAUAUUAACAUGAACGUCACUUAUAUCUGAUUAAUGCACAAAAAAUCUAUAUCAUUACUAUUUAUUUUGUAUCCGAUAAAAAAACAAUCAACAGUGUGAGGAGCUAGAAUAGUCUCCUUUGCUAAGCAUUCCCAGAAUUUUAAGUAUUUACAGGAAGGUAUUCUGCCUUUCCACAAUGUAUAAGGUACUGAACCAGUUUCUUGGGAGGAACUCUAUUUAGAAUAAAAUUAGAAGAUAAAAUUGCUUCUCACUACAAUUUCUAUGUAACUAAUAAGCAUAAAGUUAAUCUAUUUUUUAAAGUUCUAUUUUUCUUGUUAGCAACUUCAUUUUGUUGAGGAUUAUAUAGAGCGGUUUCUUGGUGAAUAAUACCAAACUUAGCAGUUAAUUCAACAAAAUCUGACGAGUCAUAUUCAUCACCUUUAUUGGAUCUUAGUAUCUUGAUCAUCUUAUCAAAUUGAUUUUCAAUUUUAUUUUUGUAAAUGACAAAUGAUUUCGAUACAUACUUAAUACACACACACACACACAUUAUGGUUAUCUAUAAAUGUAAUAAAAUACUUUUUACCACCUCGAGUUUGAAUAAAUUUCAAAUCACAUAUAUCGCUAUGUAUCAACCCAAAUAAUUCACUACUUCUUUCAAUUAAAUUGAAAGGCUUUUUUGCAAAUUUGUUUGAACAUAAAUUUUUACAUUUCUGUUCAUUUCUAAUUCAAUUUUAGGUAUAAGUCUUAAACCAACCAAUUUUGUUAAGGAAGCAUGAUAAACAUAUCCUAAUCUUUUAUGCCAUACAAUGGAAUACUCAAGCAAGUAAAUAGAAGAAUCGAACUUAUAAAUAACUUGUGGGUAUAUAUGUCCCCUUUAGUAAGUAAAAAUUUAUCAGAUUCAAACACUAUUUCGAAUCCCUUAUUACUCGUUUGAUUGUAAGGAUGAAAUUUGGAUGGAAAGAAACGAAUUUCAGAGAAUUGAAUUGCCCAGAACUUGUUUUAUUGGGAAUUGUUAAUUAAUGUGUUUGAUUGGUAUAAUUUUUCACCUAAAAAAUAUUGAAAAUUUGAAUCUUUUGGUAUUCGUUUAGCUUUGUUUUUAAUGAAAAUUGUCAAAUAAAGGGAUAAUUUUUUUUACAAUUGUGGAUCUAAUUUGUUCCUAUUGCUGAAAAAAAAAAAAAGCUUAAAAACCUAAUUCUCACCAAAAUGGUUGGAAUUGGUUUUCCAGCAAUUGAAGGAAAAGGGGCACGUAGGGGGGGAGGGGGGGGGGAUUUGAAUUCCAUGGAAAAAAAUUUCAAUCAAACACAUUAGAAGCUGGUUUUCCAUGGAAAAUUUUCCAUAUCAAACACAGACUUAUACUCUUCCUAAUUUUGGGAAAAUGCAAAACAUUGUUCAGCGUCAACUCUUUUUCAAAAGUGAAUUUAAGAAUAAUCUCUCCAAUCCCUUCUAUUUUGAAUGAAACUUAGCUGUCCAUAUAGAGAUGUUCAUCUUGAUCCAUCUUCUUGUACUCGACGAAUAUACCACUGUUUGAAUAAAUGUGGAGAGUAGCUCUUGUAUCUACCAAUCAAUCCUUGGCAUUUGAUAACAAGUUAACUUCAUAUACAAUAAUACAAAUAUAGAUAGGUUGAUAUCGGUGAUGUCGCUCAACAUGUUGUCUACUUCAAUUACUUUUACCUAAGUAGGUUUCUUAUUCCUUGCACCAUUUUUCUUCACAUGACAAUCUUUAGCUCGAUAUACUGAUUUUUCGCAACUAUAACAGUCUCCUUUGAACCAUUUUGCACCAUUUUUCUUUUCAUGUCUCUCAACGAGUCAUGAUUCUUUUCUCUUUUUUACUUCUAAACUUGAAAUCUUCAAUCAUGUUAGCCUUUUACUUCUAUGUUUCGCAUAGAACUUUUCCAUUCUGCAGACAUGUUGUCUUAUUUAAUGUAAAGUGAACAAUUUGAUCCUCCAUAGUUAUCUUUUUGCGCUUGUGCUCGAGAUAUUUUUUAAAAUAUUUUCAUAAUGAAGGUAUUUUCUUAAUCAUAGCAACAACCUGUAAAGAUUCACUCAAUGUCAUGCCUUUGGCCUCAAUAUCUUGAAGAAUUAUUUACAUCUCUUGAAUUUGACUUAUUAUUGUCUUUGAAUCAACCAUUUUAAAAUUCAGAAAGUUACUAAUGAUAAGUUUUUUCAUCCCGAUAUCUUCUGUAUUGUAUUUUUAUCAAGUGAUUCCCAUAAUUUCUUAGCCAUCUUGUAAGAAUAAUACACAUUUUAUAAUAUGGAUUAUCAAACCUGUUGAGAAUAUAAUUUUGGCGUCUGUGUUAUCUUUUGUUUCAAUGUUUGAAAUUCAUGCCGUUGAAUUUCUCUAACUUUUUUUUUGUAAAAAUAUUGGUGGCAUGAUAAACAGAUUAGACACAGAAGAUUGUCCAAUUCUUUUACUAUUUCAUCUUCUGUAUUGUAUUUUUAUCAAGUGAUUCCCAUAAUUUCUUAGCCAUCUUGUAAGAAUAAUACACAUUUUAUAAUAUGGAUUAUCAAACCUGUUGAGAAUAUAAUUUUGGCGUCUGUGUUAUCUUUUGUUUCAAUGUUUGAAAUUCAUGCCGUUGAAUUUCUCUAACUUUUUUUUUGUAAAAAUAUUGGUGGCAUGAUAAACAGAUUAGACACAGAAGAUUGUCCAAUUCUUUUACUAUUUGUUCAAUUGAACUAGUCAUUUUCCUAUAAAAUAAUAAUCACGGAAAUUUUGAGCAAUAUCAUAAUAUUGAAAACAAAUAACAAAAUUACAUAAAAAGAAAUAUAGAAGAAAGAAAUUCAUCUUAAGAUUGUUAUCAAAUUAAUAACUUAUACAAUCAAAAGAAAGAAAAAGUACAAAUGAAGAUGAAGCAAGGAAUGCUGUAGCAAAUCUCUUUAAAACAUAUUUCGCCCCAAAAUUGAUGUCAAUAGAAUUGUUGUACGUCUAUCUCCAAGAUACAACACUUCUUUCAAAGUCAGUAUUGCACUAUAUUAACAUUGUCGGUUGAAUCAAAGUACUGAUAAUAUUCUUCUCCAAUGAAAUAGACAUGAACUAAAAUGCUUAGACAAAUUUUUUACUUAUGAACAUAAUUCGAACAAAAUUUUAUUUUUGCAAAAUAAAAAGAACAUAAUUUUUGACGAGGGGAUAGGAUUAGAAAUCAAUUAUAACUUGAAUUGAUUUGAUGUAGGAAAUAUGGAACUAGAUGUCUCUAUUUAUAGGUUUCUAAGUGACUUUUUGAAAUAAUUACAUCUUUUGACAUAAAUUAAUACAGACCAUUAGAUCACAUCUUUUCAUUUGUAGUGGUAUAGAAUGCACUAUAUCAAAAUGUCAUGACUUUUUAUUAUGUACCUUUUCGAAUACUCACAUCCAAUUUGAAAUAUCAUGACUUUUUGAUAUGUACAUUUUGCAUUAAAAAAAAAAAAGUCAUAACUAGUUAUCACACCAAUUGUAGACUUUUCCAAUUCGAUAUGUACAUUUUGCAUUAAAAAAAAAAAAGUCAUAACUAGUUAUCACACCAAUUGUAGACUUUUCCAAUUCACAACUAUAUAAAAGAACCAUUUUAUUCCAACAAAUUUCGAAUACUUGCUUUUAACUUUAUUUUUAUUAGAGAUAACGUUGAUUAGUUCCCAAGUGAUUAGGUCGUAAUCCUAGCUCAGAUGUGUGUAUAUAAACUUUUUGUUAUAACUUGUUAUAUAUAUGACAAGUUAGCUUGUUGAAUUUUAUUGUGUGAAUAUUCUAUUGUAGUUCACAACAUUUGUAACGAUCGAGGCCUCGUGCACUGUCGUUUUCUUGCAUACUGUCAACUUUGGAAGGAAUCUUCCCUCUUACCCUUCACGACUUUCUGUCGUGCUUUUUAGGAUUUGAAUCUUCGGCCUUUCCCUUAAAAAUGACUUAAUUUGAAUCCUAGUACCGAUUGGACAAAUUACAUAAUUGAUACCCAAGUUCAACUUAAGUUCUUUAAGGGAAAGGGAAAGGGUUUGGAUCCUGGAGAAUGCAACAAAAGCCAUGAGAAGUAAAAGGUAAAAUUCCAUCCCAAAGCGAAUAGUACGUAAGAGAACGGUUAUAAAAAAUGCACGUUGUUUUGUAACCACUUAGAUCUCAAGCUCGGUCGUUCUCUUACGCAUGGUCCAUUUUGGGAGGAAAUCUUCCAUUUUACAUGCUCAAUUGGUACCAAGAUUCAACUUUAGUCAUUUUUAAGAAAGAUGUCAAUGGUUCAAAUCCUGGGAAAUGAGAUAGCUGUGAGGGAUAAAAGGGAAGAUUCACCCCUAAAGCGGAUGGUAUAUAAGAGAAUGGUUGAGCAUGAGACCUGGGUCAUUACAACAUUUGUGGAAUUGAAAUUAUUAGUUUUCCGCCAACGGAAAUGUUUAAUAUUUAUCAUGAAUUUAAGUAAAGUUUAAUGUAGUUAUAAAAAGAGUUUGAAAUAUACCUCAUGUUUCUAAGAUGAAAUUGGAAUGACAAAUUCGAUUCUACUUAAAUUUUACAAGUAAGCUAUUUGUAUAGAAAUUCUUUUACAUAUUUGUUGAUAGAUACUGAGAUGACAUGUAUUUGACACUUGAUUUGAAUAAAUGAAAUUCAAAUCAAAGAUCAAAAUACAUACCACCUCAAUAUCUGUAAAUAAAACUAAACAAGUAGCAUGAUUCUAAAUUUUAUUACCAACAACAUAAAAAAUGUCUUUUAUUUCACUAUCAUACCAUAUCGUAUCGAAUUGAAGUGUCUAGUGAGUACUAUUCAAACCUAAGUGGAUUACAAAACGGUCUUGUUUUACCCCCCAAAAACAUAAAUUUAAGUAAAUUAGAAAGUGAUAUUAUGUGUUUAUAUUCCAUAUUAACGUGGAAUUAUAUUAUGAAAACCAAUUUUUUUUAUGCAAUCACGUUAUAUUCUAGAAAUCUUGGCUUCAAUUUCUCAUCAAUGCUAUGUGAAAUAAAUAGUGGACUACGAUGACCAACAAGUGAAGGCAGCUUACGCUAUGUCAAGCGACUUUCGAUAUGCUAGCCCGUCACUAUGCUAAUUCGUCUAACGUUAUGUCAGUCCGAUUGCCACUAUGGUAGAGACUCUGUCGUCAUGGUAGAUCGACUACUGCUAUGUUAGUCUGACUACCAUUACGGUAGAGUGACUAUUGUUAUGCUAGUCCGAUUAUUGUUAUUGUAGACUGAUUACCGAUAUGCUAAUUUAACUAUCGUUAUGCCAGAAUGACUACCACUAUGCUAACUUAACUACCGUUAUGCUAAUCUAACAACCACUAUGAUAAAGUGACCACCGCUAUGCUAGUCCCACUGCUACUAUGGUAGAUCGACUAAAGCUAUGCUAGUCCGAAUGUUGCUAUGGUAUAGCGACUACCAUUAUACUAGUUUGACUGCCACUAUUGUAGACCGACUAUCGCUAUGCUAGUUCGAGUGGUGCUAUGAUAGACCAACUAUCGUUAUUCUAGUCCGACUGUUACUAUGGUAGAACAACUAUCACCAUGCUAGUUUGACUGCCUCUAUGGUAGAACAACUACCACUAUUAUACCUCGACUAUCACUGUAGUAGGUCAACUACCGAUAUGCUAUCUUGAAUUUCAUUAUGGUAGAUUGACUAUCGUUAUGCUAGUCCGACUACCACUAUGGUAGACCAACUACCACUAUGCUAUCCUGAAUUUCGUUAUAUUAGACGAUUCUUGCUAUAAUAGAUCAAUUAUCAUGACUGUCAAUUAUCUAAAUAUUUUUUUUUUUUCAGUUGAUUGGUUAACUAAUUGAAGGGUAUCAUUGAUCCCACUAACCGUCUAGUGAGUGGGAAUCGUCUACUCAUGUGUUUAGGCGAAAAUUUUCUAGUGAAUGGACAUACUAUGACAAAUGGACAGUAACUAUCUAACGAUUACACUAUAUCAAAUACUUAUAAAUACUUCAAAGACGUGUCAGGUACCGGGGUCGACUUUUUUUUGCAACAUAACUUUUCUCUAUUUUCUUAGAUCAUUUUUUUUUUCAAAACCCCAUUACUAAUUCUCACGUCAAAAGUACAAAGAGGGAAAAAGCCCAGACAUAUUUUUUGCAAGUGUUCAAUUGUUCAUCGGAACAAUAGUCCUUGCUCUACAAAUGAAGUCCAAAGGUCGUUUCAAUUUUUCUCACUCAUUAUUAUCAGCAUGGCAUCUUUCCUCCAAAAACUCGAAGAAAGAGACGAACCUCCUACAAGUUGCUUUUUUUUUGGAUCAUAAGUUGAUAUUAGAAUCUUCAAUAUAAAGUGGUUCAUCACAAAGUAUCACGUCAUCUAGAAUGCUUAUUUGAUAAAAAAAUGAAGAAUCUCAAACACACCUUACACCUAUGAAAGAUGUAUUAACAUCCUCCAUUGAAUUUUUUAUUAUAUAUCUUCAUUGAAAAUCAUGUCUAUUUAAUUUUUUAUAAUUUAUUUUCAAUCUUUAUCUGCGUCCUCUAAUUCUUCACUUCAUCCCCAUUUUACUUGCCACAGAGAUACGCUUACAGUCUGAAUAAGAACGAUAAAAGCAAGUUUUAAUUCAGACCAAACUCGUUGCAAAGCCAAAUCCCAAUUACACAAGAAUUUGACUGCAAUCUCUAUUUCCUCGUUUCUUUCUCCAAAUAAAAAGUUGGACACUUAAAAAUGUACAUCAAUGUUUAGCAUCGAAGUGAAAGACAACCAAAUAAUUCGAAAAUUUAUAAUGCUCAAGCAUUGUAUAGUAUAUACACAAGCAAUUCCCGCAUAAAACAAUCACACAGUUUUACCAAAAUGGGUUUUUGUUGAUUCAUUUCAACACUCAUUCGCAGCAAAGUGGACAACGCACGAGCCCGUUCUCGUUGCACUCCGGACACCUCUUCAUCUCCUCAUCAAAAAACUUCUGACUGCCAUUGCAGUUUGUGCACAGAACAAACCGUACAUCAUCGCACGCCUCACAAGGCUUUGGCGCCAUUAAAGGGAGUCCUUUGAUCAUUAUCACGAGCUCACCUCCUUCCAGCAGCUGUUUUACAACGUCACCUCCUCCAAUGUACUUUCCCUUUAUAAAAAUUUGUGGCAAACUCACAUUGCUUUCUCCCAAUACUUUCUGUAAUUCCCUCCUGUACGUUGCAUCCAUUGAAAUGUCCCUUUCGUCCAGGCGGACGCGAAAGCCUUUAAAAAUCAUUCGAAUAUCAUGGCAGUCUUGGAACGUUCUUCGAAUCCCACGAAGGCUGGUGAAAUAAACGACGACUCUGUCCUCGGUGCCCGGGAGACGGAAAGGAGAAUCCGAAAUCGGGUAAGGGAUAAAAUUGGAAUCUGCAGGUAAUAAUAAUUUGGGGGAUUUUGUAAGGGAUUGUGUAUUUGGUGGGUGUUUUGUGGAUUCAAAAAUGGAGCAGACUUUUCUGACUCUGCUCUUGAACGAAAUUCCGACGGAAACCAUGGAUUUGAAGGAUGAACUGUACAGAUUCUUGAUGGAAUCUUGGCGCUGGAAGACCUUUGAGCUGUAGAGGCGGUGGAGCGGUUUUUCGGUGGUUUCGCUCGAGCUUUUUUUGGUGAUCGAAGAAUUCUUGUUAUUUUCCGGCAUCUUCAUCGAGUAUUCCGAUUCCACUUCGUUACUCUCACAAUUCAUCAUUGAUAUCAGUCGAAAUGACCAAAAGAAUCAAGAAUUUUCCUGUGAUUUUUACAAUUUUGGUGAUUGUUUUCAGUUUCACAGCAGUUUUGAAGUAAUUAUGCUUUUCUUGGAUUAAAAAAAAUGACCAAAAGAGCUACGGGUUUUGCUGGGAUUGAAUUUUUACAAUUUCCGGUGGUGUUAAUCGGUUGCGGCCGUGGAGAAGGGUGAGAAGGGUGGGUGGAGGCGGUGGAUAAAAGCUGAAAAUGGACUGGGAAGAAUUCUUGGGUGAGAAAGAAAUGACACCGCCAAUUAACGCGGUGGGGUUAGGUAUAUGCUUUUCUUGUUUUGUGUUUUCUGCACGUGGAAAUGGAAUUGAAUUCAAUUAAUACAGAAUUUGUUUAUGACUUUUAUUAUUUAUCUAUUUAAGAUAACUGAGCAAGAAUAAGGACGUGUUUGAUUUAAGUUUUAGUCAAUUAAAUUAUUGAGAAUUUAUUUACGCAAUAAUGUUUAAUUUACUUAAUUUUCAACCUUGACAGUGUUGUACUUUUCAUUUUUUGUUGUUGCCCGAUUAAUUGAUUAUGUGAUUGAUUUAUCGAUACGUGACAAAUAAUAAAUUUCUCUUUAUCUACUUUAACAUAUUUAUUGUUGGAUAUUGGUUAAAUAAAUUGAGAAUUGAAAAUCGAUUAAAGUGACUUCGUAUCGACUUCGGUCAAAUAUUCAAAAGCUCGACUCAAUCCGUUUAGACAAAAUUGUUUGCCACUUCGCCGUUUCGGGGCGCACAAACGGGGAUAUUUGGCAUUUCGAAAACCAAUAUCGGAUGAAUGAGAAAUUACGAAAAAGGACGAAAAUCAGUGAAUAGACACAUUUUCAUAAAGGUGCAUUGUUUGGAAAUGGUGCAUGGUUUGGCCUCAACCAUUAGUCAAUAGAUACCUUUUCAUAAAGGUGCAUUGUUUGGAAAGUGUGCAUGGUUUGGCCUCAUCCAUUUCGUCCACACCCUUUCAUGGUCUAUAAAUAGGACCAUUUGGUGUCCUAUUCCUCAUAAUUUUUAUAUGCAAAGCAUCUCUCAUCCUCUCUUCUAUCCAAAAUCAAAAUCAUUUCAUUUAUUUUGAUUUUCCUUCAUUUCAUUCUUGGAGUACAUAAGCCUAAAUUUGGUUCGUUAUACUUGUGUUUUGGAGUGCUACAAACACAAGUGUAGCCGUUGUAUCUUGGGAGUCGAUUGCCGAAAUCCGUAGGCACCGUUGCGGGGCAAAUUCGACUUAAGGACAAAGAGUCUAACUCUUGCCUCGACUUUGUCCCUACUUUCUUCUUCUUCUUGUUCGUGUUUUCUUUGCCGUUACUCUAUCCAAUUUUCAGCACGGAUUUACAAACCAUCAUUAUACUUAUUUUGGCGUCACUAUUCACAAAAUUCCUCCAACAAUCUUAAGUCGAAUCUAUAUAUAUUUUGUGAAAGUGAUAUUCUUAUUUGGUUAAACUUGUUAAGUUUAACUUCUUCUUCACCUCUAUUUUCGGUUGAUCUUCUUUUUUACGUAAAUAGAAAUGAAUACGGUUCUUAAUACCGAUACUACUUCGAAUGAAACUUCGAACAUGGGAACUUCUAAAGGAAGUGUUCCUACCAGUGUGAUUCCUCCCGUUGUGAAUACAACUACUACUAAUGUGAUUCCUCCGGUUGUGGGUGCCCCUACUAUCGUACAUUCAAACUCUGUUUCACAUGGGGAAAAGCCGGAUAAAUUUGUUGGGGUUGAUUUCAAAAGGUGGCAACAAAAAAUGUUGUUUUAUCUCACAACCCUCAACUUGGCGAAAUUCUUGAAUGAAGAUCCUCCCGCCAUACAAGAAGGGAAAAAUAAUAGGGCAUCUUUGAUUGCUUUGGAUGCAUGGAAACAUUCGAACUUCCUAUGCAAGAAUUACAUUCUUAAUGGCUUGGACAACGCCUUAUACGGUGUAUAUUGCUACAAGAAAUCUGCAAAGGAAUUAUGGGAGUCCUUGAAAAAGAAGUACAAGACCGAAGAUGCCGGAACCAAGAAGUUCAUUGUGGGAAAAUUCUUGGACUACAAAAUGGUAGAUUCGAAGACCGUCAUCAGUCAAGUGCAAGAAUUGCAAGUCAUACUCCAUGACAUUCAUGCGGAAAAUAUGUCCAUGAGUGAAUCAUUUCAAAUGGCUACAAUUAUCGAGAAACUUCUACCCAUGUGGAGGGACUUCAAAAACUAUCUCAAGCACAAGCGCAAGGAGAUGAACAUUGAAGAACUUGUGGUCCGAUUGAGGAUUGAAGAAGACAACCGAAGUUCGGAAAAACGAGUUGGGAAUAACAUACCACAAGCAAAGGCAAAUGUGGUAGAAUCUAGCAACAACAAAGGAAAGAAGAGAAAGCAUUCCGUUGAAUCUAUAAAGAAGAAUGCAAAGAAGUUCAAGGGCAAUUGCUACAAUUGUGGAAAGGCUGGACAUCGCUCGAUUGAUUGUCGCAAACCUAAGAAGCAAUCCCAAGCCAACAUUGUCGAAUCUGAUGCCAUAUCAAAUGGCAUGUCCGAUAUGAAUUUAUCGGUAGUUGUUUCUGAAUGCAACCUUGUUGGAAAUCCCAUGGAAUGGUGGGUUGAUACGGGUGCAACCCGUCACAUUUGUGCCGAUAGAGGAAUGUUCACAUCAUACACUCCAACUGAGGGAGAAAAAUUGUUUAUAAGGAACUCCUCAACAUCCAAAGUGGAAGGACAAGGCAAAGUGGUCUUGAAGAUGACGUCGGGAAAAGAACUUAGCCUCAAUAAUGUCCUUCACGUACCGGAUAUUCGCAAGAACCUUGUGUCGGGCUCUUUGUUAAGCAAGAAUGGCUUUAAACUGGUCUUUGUAUCGGAUAAGUUUGUACUUACCAAAAAUGAUAUGUAUGUAGGCAAAGGCUAUGUAAAAGAUGGACUAUUCAAAAUGAAUGCCCUAACUGUUGUGCCAAAUGUUACAAUCAAUAAAACGUCGUCUUCAGUUUAUAUUCUUGAGUCAUGUAAUCUAUGGCAUCAUAGAUUAGGACAUGCAAACUUUAAUUCAAUACGAAAGUUAAUGAAUUUAAGUUUACUUCCGAAUAUGCAUUUUAAUAAUGGAAAAUGCGAAACAUGUGUAGAGGCAAAAGCGGCCAAAACACCAUUUCAUUCGGUUGAACGAAACACCACACCAUUAGAACUAAUUCACACGGAUGUGUGUGAUUUGAAGUUCAUACAAACAAGGGGUGGUAAAAAGUACUUCAUCACAUUCAUAGAUGAUUGUACAAGGUACUGUUAUGUGUACUUGUUGAAAAGCAAAGAUGAAGCUUUGGAAGUGUUUAAACACUACAAAAAAGAAGUUGAAAAUCAACUUGGAAAACGAAUUAAAAUGAUUCGUAGUGAUAGAGGUGGAGAAUAUGUUGCACCGUUUGAAGAAUUUUGUGCAGAAUCUGGAAUAAUUAAUCAAACAACGGCACCAUAUUCACCACAAUUUAAUGGAAUUGCUGAACGCAAAAAUCGAACGUUAAAGGAAAUGAUGAAUGCAAUAUUGAUUAGUUCGGGCUUACCUCAAAACUUGUGGGGGGAAGCCAUACUUUCUGCAAGUCAUAUCCUUAAUAAAAUACCACACAAAGAUAAGGUUGAAUCACCUUACGAAUUAUGGAAAGGUCGGAAACCUUCCUACAAAUAUCUCAAAGUGUGGGGGUGCUUAGCGAAAGUACAAAUACCCAAACCUAAACAAGUUAGGAUUGGACCAAAGACAAUUGAUUGUGUCUUUAUUGGAUAUGCUAUCAAUAGUAGUGUAUAUCGAUUCUUGGUUCACAAAUCCGAAGUACUUGAUGUACACGUAGGUACAAUUAUUGAAUCAAGAAAUGCGGUUUUCUUUGAAGACAGUUUUCCGUGUAAAGAAAAGGAAGUAAGUUCAAAUAAACGAACUUAUGAUAACAUACAUGGAAAGAAUGAUGAUCUUCAAGUAAAUGAAGAACCGAGACGUAGUAAAAUGCAACGAAUUCCAAAGACAUUCGGUCCAGAAUUCGUAACCAAUUUACUUGAAAAUGAUCCUAGGACAUUUGAUGAAGCAAUGUCCUCUCCCGAAACUCCUUUUUGGAAAGAAGCUGUACACAAUGAAAUUGAAUCCAUCAUGAGUAACUAUACUUGGGAAUUGGUUGAACUCCCUCCGGGAAACAAAGCUUUAGGCUGUAAAUGGAUUUUCAAAAAGAAAUUAAAGUCGGAUGGAUCAAUUGAUAAAUACAAGGCUAGAAUAGUAGCCAAAGGGUAUAGACAAGAAGAAGGACUAGAUUUCUUUGAUACCUAUUCACCCGUUACAAGAAUUACGUCUAUACGUGUCUUGAUUGCAAUCGCAGCAUUGCAUAAUCUUGAAAUACAUCAAAUGGAUGUUAAAACCGCGUUUCUAAAUGGUGAAUUAGAAGAAGAAAUCUAUAUGGAACAACCUGAAGGGUUUGUUGCACCAGGAAAUGAAAAGAAGGUGUGUAGACUUGUAAAAUCACUGUAUGGAUUGAAACAAGCACCGAAGCAAUGGCAUGAAAAGUUUGAUAAAACUAUGUUGUCAAAUGGCUUCAAAAUCAAUGAAUGUGACAAAUGUGUCUACAUUAAAAACGCACCUAAUGAAUAUGUAAUCAUAUGUCUAUAUGUUGACGAUAUGCUAAUUAUGGGAAAUAACUCCAAAGUCAUUUCCUCGACUAAGAAAAUGUUAACAAAACAUUUUGACAUGAAGGAUAUGGGAGUGGCGAAUGUAAUAUUAGGGAUUAAAAUCUCUAAGACAUCCGAUGGUUUGUCAUUGUCUCAAUCACAUUAUGUUGAGACUAUACUUAAGAAAUUUAAGGCGUAUGACGAUAAACCGGUUAAGUCACCAGUUGACUUAGGUAUUUACUUAGCCAAGAAUACUGGUGAGCCCGUAUCUCAAUUGGAAUAUUCGCGUGUCAUUGGUAGUUUAAUGUAUAUUACCAACUGCACAAGACUGGAUAUAGCAUAUAUAGUCAACAAAUUGAGAUUUUUCUUCAUUUCAUCCUUGGAGUACAUAAACCUAAAUUUGGUUCGUUGUACUUGUGUUUUUGAGUGCUACAAACACAAGUGUAGCCGUUGUAUCUUGGGAGUCGAUUGCCGAAAUCCGUAGGCACCGUUGCGGGGCAAAUUCGAUUUAAGGACAAAGAGUCCAACUCUUGCCUCGACUUUGUCCCUACUUUCUUCUUCUUCUUGUUCGUGUUUUCUUUACUGUUACUCUGUCCAAUUUUCGGCACGGAUUUACAAACCAUCAUUAUACUUAUUUUGGCGUCACUAUUCACAAAAUUCCUCCAACAUUUAUAUUAUGGCAUAUUGAUGAAAUCGACAAUUUCGUGAAAAAUUAUUUUUAGUAUGACAUUUAAUUAAGAAAAUUUCAUCAAUUUUUUAGAGAGUAAGCGACAAAGUGAUAAAUUUAAAAUUAUGAUUGAGGAAUUAGAAAUUAAAAUUAUGGAAUUGAAAAUAAAAUCUGACAAUCUUUGUGCUUGCCACGUUGAUCAUGUUUUGACUUUUGAUACUAAUUAAGCAUGUAUUCACACGGUCAGCUUUAAUAUUUUAAAAUUUGUCCACUCUUUGUUUUCAAUUCGAGGUGUAGAAAAAAAUAAUUAAACUAACCAGACAUUUUUUUUAUACAUCAUGGAAGACAUUUCAUGAUAUGUAAAAAUCAAGUCUAUCUAAAGUGUUGUUAAAAUCAAUCAAUUAAGCUACUAAAACAAGGCUAUUUGAUAGGAUUUGGUGACAAAUUUGACGUGACGAACUGUGAUUCGCCUAUUAUUUUUUAAAAAAAUUCCAUCUUCUAAUGAAUAAAUACAAAUUGUUGUCUGUCACUACUUCCUGUCAAAAUAUCCUAUUUGAAUAUCAUGAUUCAAAAUCAAUAGCAAAACUAUGUGCCACAUCAUGGAUGCAAGUAAAACUAUCAAUAAUGAUGCAAGUGUAGCAAUAUUGAAAAAAAUAUAUAUAUAUUAGCUCAUGUAAAAAAAAAUUAAUAAAAAUUUUAUAUUAAUUUUAGCAAUUAAUUUUGUCACAUAUCUGAUAUAUGAUAAUUUUUAAUAACUUUCCAAUUGAUAAAAAUUUAUAUUAAUUUUAGUAAUUAAUUUUAACAAAUAUUUGAUAACUUUUAACCAGUGUUCUAAAUGGCGCGUCAAAGUGUCGUCUAGGAGCAAGAUAUGGCAAGAACGAUGUCUAGGAUCUAUGUGAUAACUUAGCGAUCAAAGCUUUCAUUGACUGCUUUAAAGCGCGCAUUAUUACGAUUUUUUUUAAUUUUUAAUUUUUUAAUUUUAAUUUUUUAUACUUCAUAAAGCUUUCAACUUUUAAACCAAUUGAAUUACAAUGCCCGAAAAAAUAAUAAUUAUACAUUUUUUUUUAAACUUUUAGGCCAAUAAAUUGAAAUGUCCAAAAAGUUUCUUAUCCACUUAUUGAUCUUCUAAUUUAUAUAGGACAUCUUCUAGGACUUUAUUGUAAACUUUUAAGGAAAAUGUCGAAGUGCCCGAAUGGAUGACCGACACUCACAUGGAGCGUGAACCCCGCGUGAAUAAAAUAAUGUCCGACCCCCAAGGUGUGAGUGUUCGGUUAUCCCGUAUGUCAACCAUUAUGUUUGUGUAGCAUGAUUCAACUUUUAAUAUGGGCCAAUAAUCCAUUUGAUUUGACUGUGUUACAUUGUACCUUUAAUUUUGCUAUAAUGUGUUGUAUCUUUGAUUUGAUUAUAGUGUAUUAUACAUUUGGCUUGGCUAUAGUGCAUUGUACUAUUGUAUAAAUAGUUAUUUAUAUUUUAUUAAGUUAAUUAAUCAAUUUUCUAUCUUGUACUAAUUAAUAAAAAAAUUAAAACUCUCCAUAUAUUUCGAUUAGCACUAUUAUAAUAUAUAUAUUUUUUAUUGUUUGAAUAUAUAUUUAUUUUGUUCAGUUGUUAAACUGCAUUUGGUACUAUAAUUUGUAUAUAUUGUAGUUUAAUUUUAGACUGUAGUUGAUUACUACAAUAUUCGUUUGUUUUUGUACUUAUAUCACUAUUUAUUUUUUGGCGCAUUUUUGUUUUCAACCAUCUAUUAGUUAACAUACUUUUUCUUAGAUAAGAGUUUCUAUCUAAGAUAAAAAAUAAUAAUAAAUAAAUAAAUAAAUAAAAUUUAGUUGCUUAUCAUAUUUUCAAAUAAGAAAAAAAAUCCCAUCAAUUCAUCAAAAUAUUUACACAUAUCAAUAGCUAUUAACAGAACAUAAAUUGUUGCCAGGGAUAAAAUAUGCUUAUUAAUUGAAUGUUAUGAUUAAACAAUUUGAAGCAUAAGUGUAAAAGAUGAUCAUGGAUUGAUAAAUAUUAUUAAGCGCAGGUUUGAGGUCCACUUUGGCAAAGAAUGAAUUUUAGAAAAUGUACAGUUAAAAAAUAAAGAAAAGUUCUGAAUUUGUGUAUAAUAUUAUUUUAUUGAAAAAUGUAUAAUUAAAAAAGAGAAGAAAAAAUGUAUUCUCAAAAUAACGGGGAUAAAAAAAAGGCAAAAUUUGAAAGUGAAGUAAACAAAAAUUGUGAUACGAAGAUAAUACAAGAUAACAGCAAAAAGAAGUCACAUGUAGGCCCAUGUUGGAAUUGCUGUGGAAGAUUGAAGGCUUGCAUUACAUUUGCGCAAAAAUUCCUUGUCUUAAAUGUGUUUUCUACAAUUUUGUUUAUUUUGACACUAAUUCCUCGUUUGAGCCUAAUUUUAUCAAACAUUCUUUUUCCAAAAUUUAUUUUCAACCACAUAUUUUUUAAUAAAAUAAUUUUAGAUGUAAAUUUUUUUAAAAAAAUAAAAAUUAAUUACGCAUUAUCUGAAAAAUGCUAUUCCAAAAUUUAUUUUCCCCUCAAAAUUGGGCUAAAAUUUCAAUAAAUAAAUAAAUGUUGCAUGCUUGUUUAACUUUUUAUUAUGUUUUAAUUGAAAAUACACAUAAGAGGUGUUUCAAAAAACGUAAAGAGUAAUCAUACGAUAAGGUCGAACUUCAAAUAUUUGUGUACCUAAGCGAACUUAGAUAAGGUCUAAAAGUAAAAAUAAAAAAAUAAAAAAAUAAUUGUAAAGUUUGUCUAAACUACAAUAUCUAAUUUUAGGCCUAGAUGGAAUCUAAGCAUGCUUUUAUAUUUAACCCAACUGACGAAAUAAACGUGCCAAAAGUUUUAUAAGUAAUAAUCUUAAUAAUUGAUUAAAAACUUUAGUUCUAACAUUUUGUUUGAUGGCAUUGGUCAAACAUGACCCAAGAUUUUUCAUGGACAGUCCACGUACUAUGCCGUGACCUAAUUGAGUACAACAUUUGUAAAUAAUACUAAGUUUUGCCAUUCGAACUGGGCCAAUGAGACAGGUUGAGAUGUUGACAACACCCUGGCCCUUGAUUAUUAAGGGUCGAGGUGGCAAUCAUUGACCCUGUUGAAAGGUAAAGGUGUUGCCACGUCAACCUUGGAUUUAAACCCGAAUUUUGUAGUAGGAUUGAAUAAUAUUUGGGAUUAAACAUUGCAACAAUUCAAAACUUCACGAAACAAAUUUGUUUUGUGAUCUAAACAGGAUUGUAACUCAUAGUUAAGAAAACGUAUUGUAUUAAAACUUGCACUAACGUCAGAAUUUUAGCAAUUUCUACUUUCAUUUCUACCUAAUUAAUAUAAUUUUGGAAUUUUUUGAGAUUUUUCAAAUAAACAAAUAGUAGUUGAAUGAAUAAUGGGAUUUCCGAUCUAGGCGCUUUCCAUGCUAAGUGAGCAAUUUAAAAUUUGAUUAAGGGGGGUGUCCUCA
rnacentral:lncRNA from 1 species